rnacentral:lncRNA from 1 species
UGCUCUCGUGCAGUUGCAAUGUGGAGGAAAUGUGGUUUCUACAUCAACCACCAAUGGAUCAGGGAUGUUUUCUAUUUUGUUGGAUCCUCUAAAUUAUAUUCUUUCCUCGGUAUUGAGCGACUGCAACCUGAAGGUCGAUACACCGCUGAUCAGCUGCAACUCGAGUCUCCCUGCUGUGGGUGGCCUCCUAUCACCCUUACGGUUCAUCGGGAACACUGCUCUAGGAGCCCUCCUGAGUGUGGCAAACAUCAUCCCUGCCGGAUUCCGAUUCGUGCCUUGAAAUUAAGGAGACCACCGUAGCUGAAGGAGACAUUAUUAUUAUUAGUAUGGCCAUUGCUAUGUACUACUUUAUAUGAAUAAGGCUGUUGUAUUAUACGUGUGUACUGUUUAUUGUUUUUUCUUGCUUCCCAAGGAAUAAAGGUCAUGAUUGGCUAUGCAUUAUAUAUAUGUAAUAUUUUAGCGAGUCUAAAUUACGAGGGGCCUUACUAAAAAAAACGUAGCAAGUAAUUUUGAUGCAAAUAAAACUAAAAUUUGUUGCUAAAAACAUUUAGCAACAAAAUUAGCAACAUCGGAAGUAUUAUAUGCAGAUUUGUUUUUGUUGAUUUUAUAAUAGAGGAUUUGUCGGUUGUUGAUUUAUCAGUAAUGAAUAAUCUAUUGCUCACAAAUUAGCAAUGGAUUUUCCGUUGCUAACAAAUUAGAAUAGUCUGUUGCUGGUUUUUUGAAUUAUUUACAAUCAACAACGAAAAAUCCGUAGCUAAUUAUAUGAUUUUUAUUUAAUUAAUAUAUAUAUAUUUUUAUCCAAAUGACUUUUAAUUUUUUAAUUUAUUAUUUAUGGAUAUUUUGAAAGUUGUAGAAUAUAUAUAAGAAACAUAAAUUAAUAUUUAAAAUUACUUUAUCACCAAUAAUAAAUGGAAUAAAAAUAAAAUUCAUAAUAUAAGUAAAAAUUUAGUUAAACUUACACUAAUGCAAAUAAGUCAAAAUACAAUAAAAAGAUACAAUUAUGGUGCUUGUUGUGGAGAUGAACCAUGAUAUUGUGGAUCAACAUAAGAUGAAUUAUGACAUGAUGGUCGAGGUGUAGGUCAAUAUAUUGGUGGAGAUGUGGGAUCCAUAGGUGUCAUUUUAUGGGGAGCCAUAAGUGCUGGCAUACCUUGGCCAAUGUUUGAUGUCCCACCAUGAUAUCCAAGAUUGUUCAUAAGAUAUUCUUUCAUAGAAUCCAUCUGUCGUUUCAUUUCAAAAAUAAAAUCAUCUCUUUUCUUUAUCCCGCUUCUUUUUUCUUUAUCUCCUUUUGCAAUGCUCGAUAAGAUGAAUUAGGAUAUUGUGACUUCACCGAGUAGGAAUGUGAUGAAGAACUUGUAAUCACUAUAGAUUUUGGCAUACGAGGUGCACUAUAUACCCUACCCUUUGUAACUCCUCCUGAAGCCACACACCAAGCUGCUCCAUCAAAUGAAGAAUGAUUUUUCCUAUUAGUUCCGUACUUUGAAAUCAUCUCCUUCUUAUCAUUUUCCUUAAAAAUAAAAUACAUACAAUAAUAAAUUCAUUUGAAUGUUAAAUAGUAUUUAAGUUAUAUAAAUAAAUAAAUAAAAAUACAUACAAUCACUUUCUUAGACUUGCUAUUUACAAAGAUUCUAAACUGCUUAGUACUUUGAUGCAAAGCUGAAACGACAUCAUCUCAUGAAGGUUUUUUUUCUACCAACUUGCUUUUGCUAGGAAUUAUGAAAGAACAUGUCCAUCAUGAACUCUCAUAAGUCUCUCAUCAUUUUGACAAUAUCUUGCAUUGGACUGUGUAAUUCAACACCUUCGAUGCGGACCUGGAUUUCGGGUAGAAAUCAUGAUGCUAUUUUAUGACAUGGAAAACAAAAUUAGGGUAUUUUUUUAAACCUUUAUGAACUCUCACAACUCUCACAAGGCUCUCACCAUUUUGACGAUCUUUUGUAAUGGACUGUGUAAUUCAACACCUUCAAUUCAGACCUGGAUUUUAGCUAGAAAUCUUGACGCUAUUUUAUGAUAUGGAAAACAAAAUUAUGUUUUAAUUAUAUAUAUAUGGGUCCCUGCAUUCUUCAUUAUGUUUAAAAACUUCCCCAUCCCUUUUUACCUCACUUUUUUCUAGUUUUGAUCAAGGUUGUCAAUUUCGUUCUGUUUUGUUUGGAAUCACCGAAACAUUUCAUAUCUAUUAAAAAACAUAACAAAACAGAACAAGUUUCAUCUUAUUUUAAAUCUCGGUCCAUUCCGGAGUUUUUGACUAAAUUUUGACUGGAAUGUUCCGGUUUCAUUCCACAUAUUUCAUUCCGGUCUUGAAAAGCCAUUGAAUCAAAUUGAAUCUGGUUCAAUUUAAUUAAUUAAACCACCCAAGUAUAAAAAGCUUUUUUUAAUUACUAUUUUCAAUAACAAUGAUAUUAAUAAUAAUAUUGAAAAUUAUUAUUACUAUUUUCAUUAACAAUGAUAAUAAAUUUUUAAAAUUAGAUUUAUCACUAAUAUAUAUGGUUUAUUUUCAUGUUUUUUUUUCAUGUUUAUACUUUGGAGAAAUUUGAGCAAAACAAGGGAUGCUUUAGAUCCCAUUAGCCUCGAUAACGUUGAACUACUUUAUAUGUAAAAUAUUGGUAUUAAAACAUUUUACUUUCAUAAUAUUUUGAUAUUUUGUUUAAGUUAGUUGAGAAUAAUGGAAUGUGUUGGGUUGUGCCUUAGCCAACCCUCCUAUUUAUAUAGAGGCAGCAGAACACUGCAGUAACUAUAAUGAUUACAACAUCCUAUAUUACUUUCCUAUCCUGAUAGAUACAUGAGUAACUGUAAUGAUAACAACAUCCUAUAUUAAUUUCCUAUUCUACAAUAUGCCCCCUCAAGUUGAGGGUGGGGGAUCAACUCGAAGCUUGAACCGAAAAGAAGUAAAGGAUGCAACAGGAAGCGGUUUAGUGAAGACAUCGGGCAAGUUGAUCCCGAGAGGGAACAAAAUGAAUCUGAAUUUCUUUCUUGGCAACACGGUCACGGACAAAGUGAUAAUCCACUUCAACAUGCUUUGUACGGGUAUGGAAGAUAGGAUUUGCUGAGAGAUAGGUAGCACCAAGAUUAUCACACCAAAUGAUAGGAGCAGAGACUGAGGGAACCUGCAAAUCUGUUAACAAGUAUUGAAGCCAAAUGACUUCAGUGGUACCAUCAUCAAGGGCUUUAUACUCAGCCUCAGUAGAGGAGUGAGCAAUAGUGCGUUGCUUGCCGGAUUUCCAAGAAAUCGGCGUCUGACCAAAAAAGACAAGAUAGCCGCCCGUAAACUUGCGAUCAUCAAUACUACCAGCCCAAUCUGUAUCUAUAAAGCCAUGUAGAGCAAAAGAGGAGCCUUGAGUGAUAUGGAAACCAUAAGAUGUCGUACCUUUAAGAUAGCGUAAAAUACGUUUGACAGCGGCCCAAUGAGAAUAUGUAAGAGCAUGCAUAAACUGACAGACUCUGUUAACAACAAAGCAUAUAUCUGGACGGGUGAAGGUAAGAUAUUGAAGAGCACCCACGAUUUGAUGAAAUCGUGCAGGAUCAGAGAAUGGAUGAUCCGAUAAUAAAAUGACUUUCGAAGGGGAGACUGAAGUAUCAACUGGUUUGCAGGAAGUCAUACCAGCUCGGGUGAGGAUGUCAAGAAUAUAUUUAUGUUGAUGCAGCAUUAAACCCAUACCGGUAGACUGAACUUCAAUACCUAGAAAGUAGUGAACAACACCUAAGUCACGAAGCUUGAACUCAGAGCUGAGUAACUGUAUAAGGUGAUGGAGCAUAACAGAGUUGCUACCCGUGAGCAGAAUAUCAUCAACAUACACCAGGAGAUAAAAGAUAUUGGUACCAUCAGAUAAGAUAAACAGGGAGGUGUCAACCUUGGAAGCUUGGAAAUCGACGGAGAGCAAAAAAUCACUUAGACGAGUGUACCAUGCUCUCGGUGCCUAUUUCAAACCGUACAAUGAUUUGUGCAAUCUGCACACAUGAGAUUGAAGAGAAGAGUCAACGAAACCUGGAGGCUGUUUCAUGUAGACCUCUUCAGUAAGAACACCAUUGAGGAAGGCAUUAUGAAUAUCAAGCUGAUGAAUCUUCCAAUUUCGCGAAACCGCGAUAGAGAAAACUAAUCGUACAGUGGCCUGCUUAAUAACUGGACUAAAGGUUUCAGAAUAAUCAAUACCUUCCUGCUGGGUAAAACCUCUAGCAACAAAGCACGCUUUAUAGCCCUCAAUACUACCAUCAACACGAUGUUUGAUCCGAUAUACCCAUCUACUGCCAACAACAUUCAUCGAAGGAUAAAAUGGAACCAAAGACCAAGUGUGAUUUUCGCGUAAAGCGGCGAUCUCAUUACACAUAGCAUUAUGCCAAACUGCAUACCGGUCAGCAUCAGAGAAUGAAAAAGGCUCAGAAGAGGGAGAAUACAGUACCCGUGGAGGUAGAAGUAGUGGCAGCGGAAGCAACCAGAUUAGCUGUCUUCGGCUGCCGCGGUCUAAGAGUCAUAAGAUGUCUGUUGUGUGCUUGUGGAGACGCAGGGGAAGAUGGUUGUAGUGAGGAGACCUGUGGCAGCUGAUAAAAAGACAAAUCAACCAUAAGUUGCAGACCAGCGGGAGAUGAUGAUAAAGAAGCAGCCUCAAGCACAGGACUGUCAGUAGAGGAGGGGCUGAAAGCAGAGUUUAAAGUUGCAGGAGUGCUGGCUAGGGAGGGCGAAGUAGAGGAGGGACUAGAAAGUGCCCCAAGACCAUGAGGAGAGGAGACCAAUUGACGAUCUGAACCUGCAUCAUAAGGGUUAGAUAAACAAGCAUGGGAUGAUGGCCAAGGGAUGGGUGGAGGCUGUGGUCGGGUGGCUGUUUGGAGUGGUAGAGCGGAGUGUUGUGGGCUGUUUGGGUGGCUAGUGAAAGUGGGUGGCGGUGGGUGGUUUAGCAAAUUUGGGAGGGUGACAGUAGCGGGUGGGGUGGGGGUUGUGGUGGAGACCUUUGCAAUCUGUUCAGAAUUAUCAAAUGGAAACACAUGUUCAUGGAAGCGGACAUGGCGAGAAAUAUAAAUACAAUGAGAUGCAAUGUCAAGACAUCGAUAAAUAAUAUGCGAGGAACUAUAUCCAAAAAACACACAUGGAGAGGAAUGAAAAUCCAAUUUAUGAUUAUUAUAUGGAUGCAGAAAAGGAAAACAGAGACACCCAAAGGUACGCAAAAAAUGAUAAUCAGGAGACCGUUGAAAUAAACAAUCAAACGGAGAGCGAUGGGCAAGAACAGAAGUAGGCAUGCGAUUUAUAAGAUAAACAGAGGUUUCAAAAGCAUAAUUCCAGAAUCGAAAAGGUGUUUUACAUUGCCCUAAAAGAGUAAGACCUGUCUUAUGACGACGCUCUACUGUUCCAUUUUGUUCAUGAGUGUGGGGAUAAAUCAGACGAUGAUGAAUACCAAUGGUCUGAAAAAAAUAUGGAUAGUUUUUGGUAUUCACCGCCCCAAUCAGUUUGAACAUAUUUUAAACUUUAAUGAAAAUUGACGUUCGACAAGAGUUUGAAAUUGAUGAAAAACAGAGUAAACAUCAGACUUGGCAACGAGAGGAUAAUACCAUAUAUAUUUAGUAUAAGCACAACAAAGAUAACAAAAUAACAAUAGCCAUCUGAAGAAAAAAGAGGAGCAAGGCCCCAUACAUCAUUAAAAAUUAAUUCAAGUGGAGCAGAAGUUUUGUGACAUGUAGGUCCUAAAGACAAACGCGAUGAUUUUCCUAAAGGACAACUUUGACAUUGAAAAUUAAGACGUUUGUUGUUACAAAUGAUCUUAUUUUUCGAGAUUAACAAUUGAAAAAUACGUGAAGUAGGAUGACCUAGUCGACGAUGCCAUAAAUCGGUAGAGGCAGAAGUGCAGGGAGACCAAUAGGCUUGAGGAACUAACGUGAUGGAAGACUUGGUCAGGGUAUAGAGACCAUCUUUACUCUGACCUGAGAGAAGGACUUCAUGGGUGUUGAAAUCCUUGACAUAAAACACACGAGGGUGAAAUUCAAAAUAAACAUUAUUAUCAAGAUAAAAUUUCUGAACAGAGAGCAGAGGUUUUGUGAUUGCAGGAACAUGAAGAACAUUAGAUAAGGUGAAAGAACGAUGUGGUGUAUAUAUUUUUGUAUGACCAAGAUGAGAUAUAGGAAGGCCCUUACCAUCACCAACAUGCAAAUUAUCAUUACCAAGAUACGGUUCUGAAGCGGUCAAGGUGGCAAGAUCAGGUGUGACGUGUUGAUUGGCACCGGUAUCUGGAAACCAAUCAACAGAACCGGUUGAGGAGAGAUUGCGCUGCACCAGGUUGGCAGUAGGUUGUUGGCCAUAACCUCGCUGCUGGAAUUGAGGGCAAUGGGGAGCUGUAUGGCCGAAAUUCUGACAUAGUUGGCAGCGUGGAUUCUGCCCCUAUUGCGCUGCAAGAGCCCUGCCUAUUGUCACGAAGGAGGAGUUUUGGAAGCUGCGGUGAUCAGGUCUGGAGCCAGCAAAUCGGUUGCCUGCUGUUGGACUGGUUGACGCCAGCCACCGUUGAAGCGGCCCCUGCUGCGGCCAGAAUUGCCAAAAGUCUGGCGCUGCGCAACAAGAGCAGAAGAUGGAAUGCUGGGUGUGGGCAGCAGAGGAGCAUGUAUGGCAGCAAGAUUUGUGAAGAAAUUCAUGUGUGAGGAGAUGGCUGUGAAGAUCUGCAUAUGAUAAAGGUUCAGCCUUGGUAAUAAGACUGGUAACUAAGUCUUUAAACUCUCCCCGAAGACCACGAAACACAUAUAAAUUGAAAUCUUCAAGCGAAACUGGCCGACCACAGCGACCAAUUCAUCAAAUAAGGCCUUCGCUUUUUGCAUAAAUUGAGUUACUGAUUCAUCACCCUGUCGAAGAUCCUGAAGAGAGCCGUGAAGUUGCAUAAUACGAGAGUUGGAGGUGGAAGCGAGAGCUCGCUCAAGAGUGCCCCAAGCUGAACAAGAACUUUGACAGCCAACAACAAGAUGCAAAACUUCUAAUAGAUAGGGAGGAAAGAAGAGCACUUAGAAUGAGUUGGUCCUGCUGUUUCCAGGUUUGAAAAAGCGGAUUUACCUAAAGAGAGAUACCAUCAUGGGCAAGAACAUGUGUUGAUGGACAUGUGUUGGAGCCAUCAACAAAACCAAAAACUCAUUCGCCUAAGAGAUAAGACAACAUCUGCAUACGCCAAUAUAAAUAAUUGGUGUUUGUUAAUUUGAGGGAGAUGACUUAAUCAGUGUGAGAAAGGGAGAUAAUGCUUGCGGCAGUAGAGGCAGCAGACAUGGGCUGCAAGAGGAGGCGUUCACCAGCCAUGGCAGAGGAGAAUCCAGGCGGUGACGCAGUAAAGGAGGCACUGCAAGAGAAGAGGGAUGCACUGCCGGAGAAGAAGAAAACUGGACUGCUGGUGCUGCAUAAUUUGAAGAUGUAUGUGGCGGCUGUUCCAUUGAAGAAGGGAGGCUGAGAGGCUGUGAGAAAAGUAGGUUUAAUUUAUUUUAGGGUUUUGUGGCUCUGAUACCAAGUUGAGAAUAAUGGAAUGUGUUGGGUUGUGCCUUACCAACCUUCCUAUUUAUAUAGAGGCAGCAGAACACUGUAGUAACUGUAAUGAUUACAACAUCCUAUAUUACUUUCCUAUUCUGAUAGAUACAUGAGUAACUGUAAUGAUAACAACAUCCUAUAUUAAUUCCCUAUUCUACAAUAAAGUUAAAUUACUUUAAGUUAAAGAUCUAUUUAAUUUUGAUUAUUUAAAAAAAAUUUAAAAUUUAAAAUUAUAUUUGUUUGACAUUGUGUUUGUAUUGCAUAAUUUAUAAUUAAUUUAUCUUGAAUUUGAAUUAUGUUUGUUGAAUAUAUAUAUAUAUAUAUAUGAACAGUGUAACUCUGAAACGACACGCCGAAACAUUCCAUUCCAAUUAAAAAAAAAAACAAAACACCUAUCAAAACGGAAUUGAAAACCUUGGUUUUGAUUGUAUUUCCAAUUCAAAUAGUAAUUUAUUUGUAUGAAAAGGACUUUUUUUGCUAUCAUUUCUUCUUCUUCUGCGUUCCAUUAUUAUUUAUUUCAAUUUUUAUAAUUUUUAUUGUACAAUUCAAAUUUUGUUAGUGUUCUAAUGUUGUAGACUUAACGAUAAUAUUUAACAUUGUUAACAUGUAAUGAAGAUAAAAAUCAAACCUGCAAAGAUUAAAAUUAGUGCAAAACCAGGUAGAAUAUUUUAAACACAAAACCAGGAACAUGUAACUUAAAUGAACAAUUAAUAGUUGGAAUACCUGAAUUUGAAUCCCUUGUCCUAAAACAUAUAAAAAAAAAUAGCAAGUGGAAUUAGGGAUAUUAAUAGAUAAUGAGGAGGGUUUUAUAUUUGGGAUGACAAUUUAAUCCGAACUCGAUAGAUACCAACCUGAUUUGAAUGAAUGAAUAUACCAACCAGGGUUUUAUAUUUUUGGACUUGAUGGAUAAUGAAUAGGGUAUGGAUGUUAUGAAACACGACCAGAAACCUGUCCAAACCUAAUGUGGAAUAUAUUUUUAUAUUAUAUAAAUAUAUUUUUAAAAUAUUUAGAUUUUUUAAUACAAUAUGAUACAUACAUAUCUUGGUAUUGACAUAAUACACACUUACAUAUAAACUUUUUUAUUUUUUAUUGAUUAAUAAAUAAUAGUAGAUAGUAGAUGAUUAUUUGAUACCUGAAACUCGAUGGAUAAUGAGUAGAGUAUGGAUAUCAAGAAAUCCAACCCGCGAGUACAUUUUGGCAUCCCUGUUUUAUACCAUCUGUACCCGAAUCCAAAUCUAAAAUAACUAGUCGAGUCUGAACGGGUAUGGAUUUUUUAUACACGAACUUGAAUGCUAUAUUUUACAGCUAUUUAGUACAUAAUUAGCUUGCUAUACAUAUAAUUUUCUCAAACUUUAAUAUUAUUUAUUGAUUUCAGGGCAGGUUCGGGUAGACCAAUAUCAUACUAUACUUGGACCUGACUUUUUGCAUUUGAAUUUUACUCGAAACUCAAUUGAGUCUAAAAAAUUUCUAUUUGAAUCGAUUCGAGUUAGUAUCCAUAGGUAAAACUGUCAUCAUAAGUAUAAUCCAAAUACCAUAAUCUUUGGCAAUGAUAUGCUUUGCUAUUAGUUCUACCAUGACAACUAACAAAACUAUCACACACAACAAAAAAAAGCUAUGAAAUUAUGUUAAAGAGCCAUUUCAACCCAAUAACUUAAGUUGUUAUGUAAGGUUUCAAGAUAUAAUUUAUAUUAUUUUAUAAUAAAUCUGAUAUUAUUUACGUUUAAGGGAAUCUUAAUGCCCUCACUGAGAAGCUAAGCAGAGGCGAGAACCGGGCGACAGAAAGAGUUGGAAGAAAAAAGGCUAUAAGCUAGAUGCUAGAGCCUGGAGCUAUGGACCGAUCUACGAACUUUUCAGAGGAAGUGGAGACGAACAAUUCUAUCGGAGAACCCCCAAGUUUCAGCUACGCAGAGCAAGUUGUUGUUUGGAGCCCCUUCUACUUUAUAAAUUCUGAAGAGGCAAGAAAAAGAAGACUUUCAUCUUUUUUCGAGAGACAGAAGGCAUGCUAAUGAAACUAGGGGUGGGGGAGUUUUGUAGGUGAAGACCACAGAUGAAGCACACACGGGGAAGGAAGAAUUAGAGCUUCGUGACAAACCUAAGAUUUUUGAAUUGUUCUCUUUGUUUUCAUGCUCAUGCAGCAGAUUAUCCUACGUAAACUCACCAUCACCACAAACAAGGAAGAGAUAAGAGAGCUGUUAGUCAGCAAAAUCUGCUGCAACUUGGUCUCCCUUGUUCUAUAAAUGGCUGCUGAUGUCGAGACUCAAAAAUCACUUCAAUUUCAAGAUCAAGAUUGAUUUCAUACACUAAUUCUUGCAUUAAUAUCACUACUGCCAUUGAGACCAUGGCCUUCAAGACAUUUCUCUUUGUUUCUCUCGUGAUUGCUGCAAUAUUGGCAGCCCCAGUUGCUGAAGCUCAGCUUGGGCUUAUUGGCGGUCUUCUGGGUUUGAUCCGCAUCCAAGGGACUCUAUUUUGCACUGCCGAUGGCAAUAUUGGUGCUAAUGGCACAGCAACCCCUGUUUUCCCUAGUAUGCUUGCCCUGAUUCCUCUUCCUUUUCUUUUUUCUUUUCUUUUGAUCGAUAGUAAAGUAUCCUCGGACCAGAUUGUCAUGAUUACAUAGUUACCAUUCAUCACAUACGACAUCGUCGAAUGCAAUUUGACUUUGUUCUUCUUGUUAUCUUGCUUAUAAAGUUGUAAUUACAGUAACGGGUUUUUUCUUGCAGAUGCUCUCGUGCAGUUGCAAUGUGGAGGAAAUGUGGUUUCUACAUCAACCACCAAUGGAUCUGGGAUGUUUUCUAUUUUGUUGGAUCCUCUAAAUUAUAUUCUUUCCUCGGUAUUGAGCGACUGCAACCUGAAGGUCGAUACACCGCUGAUCAGCUGCAACUCCAGUCUCCCUGCUGUGGGUGGCCUCCUAUCACCCUUACAGUUCAUCGGGAACACUGCUCUAGGAGCCCUCCUGAGUGUUGCAAACAUCAUCCCUGCCGGAUUCCGAUUCGUGCCUUUAAAUUAAGGAGACCACUGUAGCUGAAGGCGGCAUUAUUAUUAUUAGUAUGGCCAUUGCUAUGUACUACUUUAUAUGAAUAAGGCCGUUGUAAUAAAGGAAUAAAGGUCAUGAUUGGCCAUGCAUAAUCUACAUGUAAUAUAUUAGCGAGUCUAUAUUGUGAUGGGCCUUACUAAAAAAAUAUAGUAAUUCGAUGCAAAUAAAACUAAAACUUGUUGCUAAAAACAUUUAGCAACAUAAUUAGCAUCACAUGAAGUAUUAUAUGCAGACUUGUUGUUGGUGAUUUUUCAGGAAUGAAUUUGUCCGUUGUUGAUUUAUCAACAAUGAAUUAUGUGUUGCUCACAAAUUAGCAAUGGAUUUUCCGUUGCUAAUAAAUCAGAAGAAUCUGUUGCUGGUUGAUUAGUACUUAAAAGUAUAUUUUUAUCAAGGUUUUAUAUCAUCAUUUUGCACUAGAAAUAUCAAUAACUCUUUAACUAAACCAUGUUUUAUAAUAAUAAUAUAAGAUACCUUUAAUUUAUGGUAAAUGUUCAUCUUAAAUGCAGACCUAUCACAUAAAUGAAAGGAUUGAUUGAUGAGUUUAAGUAUUGAAAUUGAAAGGACAAAGAGAGGGCCAAACUUAGAAAAGAGAUGUUGGUGCCGUCCAAACUGGAACACUGUUCGAUAUUUAGCCCAUAUCUCGAGUUCUAGAAGUCCAAAUGACCUCAAUUUGUUUCCUGGUAGAUAAGACAAUUUCUUAGAACUUUCAUGGGUACAGGUGGUUCUAGUUCUAAUGUUAGCAAUGACGUUUUAUUCAGACAAGAAGAUAAAGAUUUUCACCAAGUCAAGAGUUGGCCACCCACUCAACAAUUAGUAAUCAAAUCAAUAGUUUCAAAUUUUGGCCUAUAAAAGGAGGCAUUUGCCAUGCAUUUAGGUAUCUUGGUGUUCAUAUCAAGAUCAUGCUCUUGCUCUUUUUUUUUUUUUUUGUAUUUUGUAAUGUUUAAGUUUUAUUUUAUGUUAUAUUAAUCUCUUGUUUAUGCUUUUCCUUUCCUUUCCUUUACUUAUAUAAUUUUAUUCUUAUCUUGUUUAUUUAUGUUUCUUUCUUUCAAUAUAUUUAUCUAAAUCUAUUAUGUCAAGGUGAAAAGGUUACACUAAUAGUGUAAGAAUAAGUAUAGUAUAAAUUCAACAUGCACUUUAAUGCUAGAUACUAAUAUGUUUUAUAUUUAUUAUCUUGCUUACUCUUAAUACCUUACUUGUUAAAUGGUUAAUCUAGAUUUGUGUUGAACAACCCUUGGUACAACAAAUGCUUGGCACUUUCAUAGCCCAAUCAUAUGGUAUAACCUACACGUGUGCUAUGAAAGAAUUAGAAUUAAUUGAGAGAUAGUUUUGUGUUUAAUUGUGUUGGAUGCAUAAGAGUAGCAGCCAUCCUUUGUAUUUAUACUUGUAGGGUUGUGUACAAUAUAAUGGUGGGAUGUAUUACAUACUAUAACUAUUACUAUGUAGAAGUGUUUACAUUGAAUUCAAACUCUUUCCUUAAUACACCCCGUCAAUCUGAAGGUGGAGAUUCCACCCGAAGCUUGGAUCGAAAAUAAGCAAACGAGACUGGAUCGAGGAAGAGGCUUGGUAAGGACAUCAGCUAGUUGAUCUUUGGAAGAUAUAAACCGUACCUGAAUUUCUCGCUUAGUAACACGAUCACGGACAAAAUGAUAAUCAACUUCAACAUGUUUAGUACGAGCGUGAAAUACUGGAUUUGCAAUAAGAAGGUGGCCCCUAAAUUAUCACACCAUAACGUGGUCACAGUCGAAGAAGGAAUCUGAAGUUCUGUCAAUAAUGAGCGAAUCCACAAAAUCUCAGCAGUACCAUCAGCUAAGGCUUUGUAUUCCGCUUCAAUGGAGGAUCUCGCAACAGUGCAUUGUUUCCCGGAUUUCCAGAGAUAGGGGUAGAGCCAAGGUACACAAGGUAACCACCUGUGGAUUUUCGAUCAUCAAUACUACCUACCCAAUCAGCAUCUGUGAAACCAUGAAGAGACAGAGGAGAAUCCCUAGUGAUGUGCAGGCCAUAAGUUGCUGUAGCCUGGAGGUAACGCAAGAUGCGUUUGACAGCAAACCAAUGAUCCUCAGUGGGGGCAUGCAUAAAUUGACAGACCUUGUUGACCGCAUAACAGAUAUCAGGUCUAGUGAAGGUAAGAUAUUGUAAUGCCCCAACAAUUUAUCGAUACCGUGUGGGAUCAGAGUAGAGAGUACCUGGUAUGAGUCCUAAUUUGGAGGAGGCAGAUAGAGGAGUAUCAACUGGUUUGCAUGAAGUCAUACCUGCUCGUUUGAUGAUAUCGAGAGCAUACUUAUGUUGGCUUAAUAAGAUACCCAUAGCAGUAGGUUUAACUUCAAUGCUUAAGAAGAAAUGAACAGAACCCAGAUCCCGAAGCUUAAAUUCUGAUUGCAGCAAGGUAAUCAAUCUAUGAAGCAUAGCUGAGUUACUUCCGGUUAAUAAGAUAUCAUCAACAUACACAAGCAGGUAAAUCAUGGCACCAUCAUGAGAGAGGAUAAAUAGAGAAGUAUCACCCUUGGAUGCCUGAAAUCCAAUGGAUAGUAAGAACUCACUCAACCUGUUGUACCAAGCACGAGGGGCUUGUUUCAAACCAUACAGAGAUUUAUGGAGACAACACACAUGAGACGGGAGUGCCGGAUCAACAAACCCAGGCGGUUGCGCCAUGUAUACCUCUUCCUGAAGAAUGCCAUUUAGGAAAGCAUUAUGGACAUCCAACUGAUGAAUGGUCCAUCCAUAUGAAACAACGAUAGUGAGCACAAGGCGAACCGUUGUAGGCUUGAUCACUGGACUGAAUGUCUCCAAAUAAUCAAUCCCUUCUUGCUGAGUGAAGCCGCGGGCAACUAACCGUGCCUUAUAUCGGGCAACUUGACCAUCAACAUUUCUUUUUAUCUUGUACACCCAUCUACUGCCAAUCACAUUCAUAGUUGGAUGAAGAGGCACCAACGUCCAAGUCUGAUUAGAGUGAAGUGCCCGAAGUUCCUCCUGCAUGGCAGUGUCCCAAGUAACAUACCUGUUUGAGUCCUUAAAGGACAAUGGCUCCUGCUGAGGUAAGGUCGUGUCUCGUGAGACAGCCGCAAUGCUAAGAUUAGCAUUUCUUUCUGGCCGUGGGCGAAGCACCAUAGGAUGGGUGCGAGCCCGCUGAGAUGGGGAGGAGACAGCGGCAGGGACAUGCUGAAGAUUGAAUUUAGAUAGAUCAACACAUACGUUAAUUCCAGGAGGGGAAAGCGAGGAAGAACCUGUGGGUGAAGAACUCAAUAUAGGAGAAGACCGUGAUGGAGACCCAGCAGAAGAAGUAUCCAUAACAGGGGAGAAACCAUGGAGCUGGCAGCAACAUCGGAUGAUGCUUGUGAGUGUGACGAAUCUGAACCUGCAAUUGAAGAAUGAUCAUAAUAACAUGCAGAUAAUGGUAAAGUAGCCGAAGGAGGUGUAGGCAGUGAUUUAGAGAGUGAGGAGGGUUGCAUGAGAGGAAGUAAAGUGACGGGUAGAGAGGGAGCAGAGGGCUGUUUGGGUGUUGCUGCAAUCUGUUCAAUUUUAUCAAGAGGAAAAACAGUUUCAUGAAACCGGACAUGACGUGCAAGAUAAAUUCGUUUGGAUGACAAAUCAAGACAACGAUAACCGACAUGUGAGGUACUAUAUCCUAGAAAAACACAAGGUGUGGACCAAAAAUCUAAUUUGUGAGCAUUGUAUGGACGAAGAAAAGGAAAGAAGAGACACCCGAAAGUACGAAGAAAUGCACAAUCAGGAGUCGAUUUUAACAGACAUUCAAACGGUGUCUUAUUAUUAAGGACUGGAGUGGGCAUGCGAUUAAUUAAAUAAACAGAACUUUCAAAAGCAUAACUCCAAUAUUUAAGGGGAGCAUGACACUGACCAAGGAGAGUGAGUCCAGUUUCAACAAUAUGUCUAUGACGGCGUUCAACCAUGCCAUUUUGUUCAUAAGUGUGCGGGCAGAUCACACGAUGAUGAAUACCAAUCAUUUUAAAAUAUGUAUUUAGUUUUUGGUAUUCACCACCCCAAUCAGUUUGAACAAACUUAAUUUUUAAGGAGAAUUGGCGCUCCACAAGCGCCUGAAACUGAUGAAAAAUUGCAAGGAACGUCAUACUUAGCAACCAAGGGAUAAAACCAUAUGAAUUUUGUAUGAGCAUCCACAAAAAUAACAAAAUAGCGAAAACCAUCAGAUGAAAACAUAGGGGAUGGACCCCAAACAUCACUAAAAAUCAAGUCAAGAGGAGCUCGAGUUUGAUGACCCGUAGGUUUUAGAGUCAGACGCGAUGACUUGCCUAGAGGGCACGUAGGACACUGAAAAUUAAACUUAGUGGACAUACAUGACACUUUUUUAUUUUUCACUAGCAAAUGCAAAAUACGUGGACUAGGAUGUCCAAGUCAACGAUGCCAGACAUCAGCUGAAGUAGAUAGACAAGUAGAGGAAAAAGCUUGAGGCAACGAUGUUGCGGACGUCGCGGACAAAACAUAUAGACCAUCUUUACUCUGACCGGAAAGAAGAACUGCCUUUGUCAUGAGAUCCUUAACAUAAAAUAGAGAGGAAUGAAAUUCAAAAAACACGUUAUUCUCAAGAAAAAAUUUUUGAACAGAUAUCAGAGGUUUUUUAAUGGUAGGAACAUGUAAGAUAUUGGAUAACGUAAAAAUGCGGUUUGGUGAGCGAAUUUUGGAGUGAGCAAUAUUUGAGAUAACAAGGCCCUUACCAUCACCAACAUGCAGAUGAUCAUUUCCAAGAUAAGGUUCUGAACUCGUCAUACUUACAAGAUCCGGCGUGACAUGAUGAUUUGCACCUGUAUCAGGAAACCAAGUAACAGGAGUGGUGGAAGGGGCAGUAUUAAAUGCAAGAUUAGCAUUAGCUUGCAUAUGAUGAGUAGCCAACUGAGAACACUGUUGAGCAGUAUGCCCAUAUUCAUAACAUAGCUGACAUUUUAUGUUGCGAGGAUAGCCACCAAAACGAUUUCUUGCUGCCCAAAAUUACCUGUUGGCCGUGAAGAAGAGCCAGAUGAGAACCGGUUCCCAUGUGAGCUGUAUUGUUGUCCUGAAGUAUAAGUGUUUGCUAGUCCAUUGCCACGAUAAAAAUUGAAUGCGAUUGUUAGGUCUCCAACCCCCACGAAAACGCCCCCGUCUGCCAGAUUGAUGCUGCACAAAGAACGCAGCUGGUUGCUGCGUUGGAGUAGGUAAUAGAGGGGCUGUUACAGAUGGCUGGAGGGAGGCUUUGUGAAGGAACUCAUGUGUAAGAAGGCUACUAUGGAGAUCAGUAUAGCUGAUGGGGGCAUCAUUUGUGGAGAAGCCGGUGACAAGAUCUUUAAACUCACUGCGCAAUCCGCGAAAAACAUACAGAUUAAAUUCUGCCAGGGAGAUUGGUCUACCAGCGGCAGCCAAUUCAUCAAACAAAGCCUUAGCCUUCUGGAGGUAAAUGCUGGCAGAAUCAUCAUUCUGUCUUAGGUCCUGGAAUGAGCCGUGGAGCUGCAUAAUUCUGGAAUUUGAGGGAGAGGCCAGAGCUGUUUCUAACGUUGUCCAGAUUGCAUGUGAAGUGUUGCAAUCUACAACCAAGUGCAGAACUUCGACCGAGAGAGAAGAUAGGAGGGCACUCAUGAUGAGGUGAUCUUGCUGCUUCCAUGAUAAAAUAUGCCGGGUUGACAGAGAGUAUAGAUGGCUCAGCCGAUGCCAAAUGUGAAGGAGGACAUGGUGAUGUGCCAUCAACAAAUGAAUAAACACCUUGGCCCAAGAGAAAAGGUUUCAUCUGCAUCCUCCAAUACAAGAAAUUAUGGUUGGAGAGUUUUAAAGAAACUACCUGAUGUGUGUUAGGAAGAGAGAUAAUGGAGGCAGUAGGCGAUGCCCCAUACAUGACUGAUUGCUCUACAGGGGAGAAGGAAGAUUGAAGAGCUGAUACAGCGCCAGCAGAUUGUUGAUUGUCCAUGUUGCUAGGGAGAAGAAGUUUCAGUUUCUACUUCGUGAUAAGUGACAGAGGAAGGAGAUGAGAAGCUGCUGCUUUGUGAAUUAAACUGAGGAAGAACCGGCUGCUAAGAAGAUAGGAUGGCUGCUGGUUGCCAAAUAGCUACGCAGGAGAAUUUCAGCUUUUAAGGGAGAAGGCUGCUGAACAAUAACCGGUGCUCUGAUACCAAAUUAGAAUUAAUUGAGAGAUAGUUUUGUGUUUAAUUGUGUUGGAUGCAUAAGAGUAGCAACCAUCCUUUGUAUUUAUACUUGUAGGGUUGUGUACAAUAUAAUGGUGGGAUGUAUUACAUACUAUAACUAUUACUAUGUAGAAGUGUUUACAUUGAAUUCAAACUCUUUUCUUAAUAGAAAGGAAUUUAAUUUGUUGUUAACAUAAACUAUCACCAUGAAUACCUGAUAAUAUUUACAAGUAUUGGCAUUACUUGAAUAAGAUAAUUAAUAUAAUCAUGUUAAUAAUUUAUAAUCUGAUUGGAACCUCCUUUGUGUGUGGUUUUCAAUUGAGUAAUAAGAGUUUAUACUAUACUUGUUUGAAGUACCAUUAGUGGAUCCUCUAACCUUGACAUUUGUUUUUAUAAUUGUUUAAUCAUCAAAUUAAUCUUACAUCUCAAAGUCCUCUUUAUUAUUACUAUUACUAUUACUACUAUCAUUAUUAUUAUUAUUACUAUUACUAUUAUUAUUGUUGUUGUUGUUGUUAUUUAUAAUUUAUAUAGUUAACCUCUUUGUGGUUCGACCUCGGUCUUGCCGAGUUAUUUAUUACUUCGACACUCCUGCACUUGGGAGAAGACAUGAAUCUUUUGAUCGUGUCACUGGUUUUGUGAAUCAACCAUGGAUUUCCCAUUGAAUUAUUUACAAUCAGCAACGAAAAAUCCGUUGCUGAUUAUAUGAUUUUUAUUAAAUUAAUUUAUAAUUUUUAUCCAAAUGACUUUGAAUUUUUUAAUUAAUUAUUUAUGGAUAUUUUGAAAGUUGUAGAAUAUAUAUAAAAACAUAAAUUAAUAUUUAAAAUUACUUUAUCACCAAUAAUAAAUGGAAUAAAAAUAAAAUUCAUAAUAUAAGUAAAAAUUUAGUUAAAGUUGCACCAAAGCAAAUAAGUACAAAUACAAUAAAAAGAUAUAAUUAUGUGCUUUUUGUGGAGACGAACCAUGAUACUGUGGAUCGAUGUAAGAUGAAUUAUGAUAUGAUGGUCGAGGUAUAGGUCAAUAUAUUGGUGCAGAUGUGGGAUCCAUAUGUGUCAUUAUCUGGGGAGUUGUAUGUGGCGGCAUUGAUGGGGCCAUAGGUGCUGGCAUACCUUGGCUAAUGUUUGAUGUCCCACCAUGAUAUCCAAGAUUGUUCAUAUGAUAUUCUAAUAUUAUUACUAUUAUUAUUAUUAUUAUUAUUAUUAUUAUUAUUAUUAUUAUUAUUAUUAUUAUUACUAGUAUUACUAUUAUUAUUAUUGUUGUUGUUGUUGUUAUUUAUAAUUUAUAUAGUUAACCUCCUUGUGGUUCGACCCCGGUCUUACCGGGUUAUUUAUUACUUCGACACUCCUACACUUGGGAGAAGACAUCAAUCUUUUGGUCGUGUCAAGUUUUUGGCACCGUUGCCGGGGAGGUAAAUUCUUGUAUAAAUUAUAAUAUUUAUUUUAUUUUCUCUUUUCACUUUUCAUUUUAUCUAACUUUUAUUUCUUUUGUUUUCUUUUGUUUCUUUUUCUUCUCUUCUCCUUUCUUCCUUUAUUCUCCUCUUACACGUGCAUGAGAGUUUGGUCACGUAUAUUAAAUGGUAGACUUUGUAGGGUAUCCUCAUAAUUUUUAGAAAUAUGACUGAAGAAGAUAAUCAAUACCUUCAUAAUGAGAAUAAUGAGAAUAACUGUAUGAGAAUACUUGGAGACCAUAUGAAUCCCACAAGAACAAUUGCACCCUCAUGCAUAGUUUUCCCUCCUGAUGCAUUUCAUUUUAAUUUUAAACCAUACAUUAUUCAACUUUUACCUUCUUUUCAUGGCUUAGACCUAGAACAAUUUUUAAUUUUUUUUUCCAUCUCACAGAACAAACUCUUUUAAAAGACAAAUCAUCACUUUCACUCAAAAGCCAGGAGAAAUAUUUUACCAAUGUUGGGAUAGGUAUCGAGACUUGCUUAAUACUUGCCUUCAUCAUGGUUUUGAAACAUGGAGAUUGGUUUCACAUUUUUAUGAAGGGUUAACACCUAGAGAUAGGCAAAUGGUUGAAUUGAUGUGCAAUGGAACUUUUGAAGAUAAAGACCCUAAUGAAGCAAUGAAGUACAUAGACUUGCUAACAAAAAAUGCUCAAAAUUGGGACACCAUAGAUACUUCUGAGACACCAAGUAAAACUCAACCUCAUACAUCUAGAGGUAUACAACCUUAGAGAAGUCAUGACCUCCAAGCCAAGUUUGCAUCUUUAGCUAGAAAAGUUUGAAGCACUUGAAUUGAAAAGGGAGUGAUCAAUUAAAAUCUAUUCAAGACAUUGUGUGUCAAAUCUGUGAAACCAAUGAACACUCAAAAAAUGAUUGUCCAACUUUGCCUUCUUUUAGGGAAUGCCUUCAUGAAAAGCCAUGCUUUAAACAGUUUUCAAAGGCCCAAUCAUAACCCAUACUCACAAACGUAUAACCCUGGUUGGAUAAAUCACCUAAAUUUUAGUUGGAAGAGUGAUAGCAACAAUACACAAACUUAACAACCACCGUUUCAAGCACACCAUGAUUUCUAAAAUUCUUAUGGAUAUGCACCUCCUUAUGCUCCACCUCCUAGAAGAAAUCUUGAGGAAACAUUGCAUGCAUUCAUCAAAAAACAAGAGGCAAUCAACACUCAACUUGCUCAAGGCAUGCCAGAUUUUAAAGAUACUCUUGCAAAGUUAACAUCUACUCUCAGUUUCCAAGAAAAUGGUAAGUUUUCAUCUCAACAACAUCAAAAUCCAAAAGGACAAUACAAUGCAAAUGCAAGUAGUUCCGGAAGCCAACACAUGGAUCAAGUCAAAUCAGUCACCACUCUUCGUAGUGGUAAGGUUAUUGAAAAACCCGCUCUUGAACCUUGUGAGAAAGAUGAUGAGUCUAUCUUUGAGGGUAAGGAAGGGGUUGAAUAUGAACAUUGCAAAGAAAAUGUUGAUUCCCUGCCAGCACUCUCAUUUCCUCAUGCCAUGACCAAACAAAGAAAAGUCAACCACAACUCUGAAAUCUUUGACACUUUCAAACAUGUAAGGAUCAAUAUACCUUUGUUGGAUGCUAUUAAACAGGUUCCUUCCUAUGCUAAAUUUUUGAAAGAUCUGUGCACUGUGAAGAGAAAACUGAAUGUGACAAAGAAAACAUUUUUAGCCGAACAAGUGCCAUUCUUCAAACCAAUAAUGCUUUGAAAUAUAAAAACCCUGGUUGUGCUACAAUUUCUUGUUUUUAUUAAAGAACAUAAAAUUAAAAGAGCCUUAUUUGAUCUUGGAGCUAGUGUGAAUUUACUUUCAUAUUCAGUUUUUUUAAAGUCUUAAUCUAGGUGAGUUAAAACCAACUUCUGUAACUCUUUUACUUGCUGAUAGAUCUGUAAAAGUGCCUAGAGGAAUAGUUGAGGAUGUGUUAGUACAAGUUGAUAAAUUCAUUUACCCUGUAGAUUUUUUUGUCUUGGAUACACAACCUAUUGAAGCAUGUAAUUCAAUUCCUCUAAUUUUAGGGCGUCCAUUUCUUACCACUUCUAAUGCAUUAAUUAAUUGUAGGAAUGGACUGAUGAAGCUAUCAUUUGGAAACAUGACAUUGGAGAUGAAUAUUUUCAACAUUUACAAGCAACCUGGAGAUGAUAAUGAUUUACAGGAAGUGGAUUUUAUUGAAAAAUUAGUUCAUGAUCAAUUUCAAACCACUUCUAGUGAAACUGAGAUUGAUGAAUCUGAUGAUUUGCAAAUGGUCUCCUUUCAGGAACAAUCAAAGGCAUGUAAAUAGAGACCAUAAAUUGAAGAAUUGUGACACGACCAAAAGAUUGAUGUCUUCUCCCAAGUGCAGGAGUGUCAAAGUAAUAAAUAACCCGGCAAGACCAAGGUCGAACCACAGGGAGAUUAACUAUAAAUUAUAAAUAACAACACAACAACAACAACAACAACAACAAUUAGUAGUAGUAGUAAUAAUAGUAAUACUAAUACAAAUAAUAACAAUAAUAGUAAUAAUAGUAGUAGUAGUACUAAUAAUAUUAAUAAUAGUAAUAGUAAUAAUAAAGAGGACCUUUGAGAUGCAAGAUUAAUGUGAGGAUUAAACAAUAAUAAAAACAAAUGUCAAGGUUAGAAGAUCCAUUAAUGGUAUUUCAAACAAGUAUAAUAUAAACUCUUAUUAUUCAACUGGAAACCACACACAAAGGAGGUUCCAAUCGAAUGAUUUAUCAUUAAUAUCUCAUUAUAAAUUAUUAACAUGAUCAUAUUAAUUAUCUUAUUUAAAUAACACCAAACUUUUAAAUAUUGUCAGGAAUUCAUGAUGCUAACUAAUGUUAACAACAAAUCAAGUUCCUUUCAUAGCACAGGUGUAGGUAAACCAUACGGUUGGGCUAUGAGAGUGCUAAGCAUUUGUUGUACCAAGUGUUAUACAACACAAAUAUAGAUUAACCAUUUAACAAGCAAGAUAUUAAGAAUUAGUAAGAUAAAAAGAUAAGACAUGUUAAUAUUAAACAUUAAGGUCCAUGUUGAGUUUACAUUAUACUUAUUCUUACACCAUUAGUGUAACAUUUUCACGUUGACAUAAUAAACUUAGCUAAACAUAAUGAAGAAGAGAAACAUAAAUAAACAAAAAAGAACAUAAAUAAGAUACAAGUUAACUAAGUAAAGGAAAGGAAAUGAAAAGCAUAGACAAGAUAUUAAUGAAAGCAAAACUUAAGAAUUACAAAAAAAAUGUAAAGAGAGAGAGCAAGAACAAGUUCUUGAUCUGAACACUAAGAUGCCUAAAUGCAUGCCAAAUGCCUCCUUUUAUAGGCCAAAAUUUAGAACUAUUGAUUUGAUGACUAAUUGUUGAAUGGGUGGCCAACUCUUAACUUGGUGAAAAUCCUUAUCUUCUUGUCCGAAUAAAACAUCAUUGCUAACAUCAGAACUAGAACCACCUGUACGUAUGAAAGUUCUAGGAAAUUGUCUUAUCUUUUUAGGAAAAAAAAUUGAGGUCAUUUGGGCUUCUAGAACUUGAGAUAUGGGUUGAACACUAAACAAUAUCUGGGCUGCAGGACAUAUUUGGACUUGAAAACGACCUUUUUAAAUCUUGGACUGCACAUGAAAGUUGUAGGCCUAUGUCUUAGCAAAUCUAUCAAAAAAUUGAGAUCAUUUGGACAUUUAGAACUCGAGAUAUGACCCAAUUACCGAACAGUGUUCCAGUUUAGACUGCACCAAUAUUUUUUUUUCUAAGUUUGGCACUCUCUUUGUCCUUUCAAUUUCAAUACUUAAACUCAUCAAUCUAUCCUUUCAUUUAUGUGAUAGGCCUGCAUUUAAGAUGAACCUUUUCCAUAAAUUAAAGGUAUCUUAUUUUAUUAUUAUAAAACAUGCUUUAGUUAAGGAGUUAUUAAUACUUCAAGUGCAAAAUGAUGAUAUAAAACCUUGAUAAAAAUACACUUUUAAGUACUAAUCACACCCCCCAACCACCUUAUUACUAGUCCCUAGUAAUCAAAGCGUUAAAAUAGAAAAACAAUUUGCAAGUUCCAGAAAGCAAGGCAUUCAUCAUUAAACUUCCAUUAAUCUAUCCAAAUAAACAAACUCUCAUUAAAUUUGUAAUCCUGCUUCAUAUAUCUUAAACAAGAUAUUAAUAAACCUUGUUUUUAUGUGCUCAAUGAAAACAUAGAUGAUGAGACUUUUGUUGGAAGAAAACAAUAUUAUGUUCUAAUGUUUAAGAUUAACUUCCUGGGGUUGGGUAUUAUUAUAUAUAUAUAUUUUUUUUUUCUUUUUUUAUUAUUUAUUUAUAUACAUAUACAACUUAAAACACAAUGCAUCUUUAACAAAUGUAACGAGUUUUCGGCUAAUGACUCCCAAACCAAUUGGUCUUAGGGCAUUAGGUGUUGAGACACCCCUAUGAGCUUAGUAACUCGGGUUGCAGAUACUGAUAUGUAGAUAAUGCAAUGUUUUAUUUCCUUAAGCUUUUCUCCUUAACCCAUGUAACAAGCUUUAGGCCAAUAGCUCCUAAGUCUGUUGACUUUAGGGUAUUAGGUGUUAAAACACCCAUUCGAGCUUAAUUGCUUAGGUUAGGGAGGCUACGAAACCAAACUUAUCUAUGUUUUUAUUAUCAUCAAUAUUAUCAUUUUUUUUUCAAAUUAUACACUAUCCCUUUCCCUUAGUUGUUACCUUUAACAAAAGAACAUAAAUAAUGUAAUAAUCCAAUGUGCAACCCACAAUCAUAUGAUAAAGUGCGUGUGUGAAAAUGAAGGUUUAAGAAUACUUGUUAAAUGAGUAUAUGAGCAGGAUCGAGUGACAACAAUGUGAGAGUUUGUAAACCUGAAUAUUUCAAGAAGUAUUCUAAUAGACCUUGGUGAUGAUACUUACUAAGAUGCGUCUCAAGAGUCAAUAAAAUUUCCUCCUUACUCUGCCAUCCUAAUAACAAUUUUGUCAAAUAGUUUUAAUAAUAGUAAAAAGAGUUAGUAAGUUAGUUUUUUUUUAUGUCGACUACUACCCUCUCCCCCAACCAAAACGAGACAUUAUCCUCAAUGUCCUAAGGUAGAAAUCACCUGAAACACAAACAAUGACAAACCUGAAACACACUUAAACAAAUAUAAGAAGUAACAAAACAAAAUAAUAUGCUAUUAAUAAAACCAAAAAACACAAGGUUUCAAAAAUGAAGGCUCAAAUCUAAUCUAAGCUUUUUACGGCUUUCCUUAGUUGACCAAUUUAGGCGAAUCAUGCAGGGAUCAAUGACAGGGAUGAAAGAUUGUAGUUGGUCAAUCAAUUGUUCAGCAGUAGCAGCAGAGAUUAUGAUUGCUCGUGCCGAAGAUAUUAGAAAUUCAUGUUCCACAGCUUGAUCAAGAAAAGACAACAAUUUAUCAUAGAAACCAUUAACAUUUAACAAACCUAUAGGUUUAUGGUGAAUGUGCAGUUGGGCCCGAGAGGAAAUAUGAAAGAUCUCUUCCAAUGUGCCCAGACCACCUGGUAAGGCAAUGAAGGCAUCAACAUGGUUAAACAUGACAUUUAGUCGAUCAGACAUUGUGGGGACCUGUAGUUCCUCUCCAAUAUUUUUUCCAAUGAUGUCCCUAUUUGUUAAAGCUUUGGGGACAUCCCCCAAAACUUGACUGCCUCCUAAAAAUGCAGCCAUUGACACACCUCCCAUUAACCCAAGGUUACCUCCCCCAUACAUUAAAUGAAUCUUUCUCUCAGCUAGUACCCGACCAAGAUGAUUUGCUGAUUCUAAAAACUCUUUUUCUUUCCCAGGACUGGAUCCACCGAAAACACAAAUAUUUCUUAUGUGAUGACUUGAGGAACCUGCCAUUUCUACAUGCUUUUAUAUUUGAUGAAUGUAUGGGUUGAGUAGAAAUGAAGGGAAGGAAGAGAAUAAUUUAUAGAUGAGAAAUUGAAAAUGCAAUCAUACCACCUAUAUGUAGGCCAACUGUAGUCUCACACACACGCUCUCUGUUUAUUAAUUAUUUAUUUUGAAAAAAAGCAUGUGUAUGUACAAGUAGUUGUGAUUGUGCCUCACAUCUUCUCUUGGUUUUACAUCCAAGAACGACUUAAACGCUCUCUAUGGGUCGGGGAUAGGUUUCCCAUCCAGUUUUCUUAAAAACUGGCAAAUAAGGUCUUUUUUAGUUAGAUUCCCAAGACUAAGUCGGGCAUGUUCUUUAUGGAAUUGUGGCCAUAAAUCAUGAAUUUCACGAUGUACAUCUCCACUAGGAUGCGUCUCAAGGGUCAACAGAAGAUUAUUUAAAGACCCUUUACUGAGGCCAUCCUUAAUGAAUUGUAUUUUAUCUUCAUGGUUUACAUAUACCAUUCCUAAAAAAUGACAUGUCGCAUUACAAGUCCAUCUGACACAUCUAUGACAGACUUUCAGUAAUUUUGCAUGACGUUUCUUUGCAAAAGUGCUUUUACCUAUUCCAGGCAUGUGUGAAAUGAAAGAAUUGGAGGACUCACCUACUAAUCGGACCUUUGCUUCAAUUAGCCAGCGAAUAUCUUCAGGAAUUCCAUGAUUCAUUAACAACCUCAAUCUUGCACACCUAGUACGGUAAAUUUUUGUAAUCUCAUUUGAAGGCAAAGUGGAAAAAUACCUUUUCAAUUUUUCGAGAGUGGUGUCCAUUUUUAAAGAAUUGGGGAAAAGAUUCAAAGAAGGGAGAAAGAGCAAAGAAUUGCAAAAAUAUAGACAGAUAUUAGCUAUUAUUGAAAACUAAAAGAACCAACUUAAGUCACGGAGUACCGUUAUCCACCAUUUGACCGGGGUGAGAGAGAGACUAGCAAAACAAAAGUUACACCAAAACAAAACACAAAACAAUGUGAGAAAAAGAAUCAAUCUUUAUAUAUAGGAUCACUCAAUUCAAUAGUCAUUUUCAACCGAAAAAUUAUCGAAAUAAACUUUGAAACGAUGCCCAUUUACCUUGAAAACAUUGCCAUUCUUUGGAUUCUUGAUAUCACAGGCCCCAUAUGGAUAUACAUGUUUCAUAAUAAAAGGAUCGCUCCAUCUUGAUCUUAGUUUUCCAGGAAAUAAAUGGAGUUGAGAAUUAUAAAGCAAGACUUUUUGACCAACAUUGAAUGUUUUUCUAAGUAUUUUCUUGUCAUGAAACUCUUUGAUUCUUGCUUUAUGAAUUCUUGAAUUGUCAUAUGCAUAAUUUCUUAUUUUCUCAAGCUCAUUUAUUUACAAUUUUCGUAGCAUCAUCAAGGUUGGAAUUGAAAGCUUUAACAGCCCAAUAAGCUUUAUGUUCAAUUUUCACAGGCAAGUGCAAGGUUUUCCAUUUACUAAUCUAUAAGGUGCCAUACCUAAUGAUGUUUUUAUAAGCAGUUCGAUAAGUUCAAAGUGCAUCAUUAAGUCUUAAAGGCCAGUCUUUCCUAUUAGGGUUCACUGUUUUCUCCAAGAUUUGUUUGAUCUCCCUAUUAGCAAGCUCUACUUAUCCACUUGUAUGAGGGUGAUAAGGGGUGGCAACUUUGUGUGUGAUUCCAUAUUUUUUCAUUAAAGAAUCAAAUGGCUUGUUGCAUAAAUGUGUUCCACCAUCACUUAUCAUGGCUCGAGGGAUUCCAAAUCAACUCAAAAUAUUGUAUUUCAAAAACUUUAUCACUGUUUUGUGAUCAUUGUAUUGGCUUGGAAUUGCCUCUAUCUAUUUUGAAACAUAAUCUACUACGACUAAUAUGUACACGAAACCAAAUGAUGGAGGAAAUGGACCCAUGAAAUCUAUACGCCAACAAUCAAAGAUCUCAAUGACAAUAAUAGGAUUUAAAGGCAUGAUGUGACGUUUUGAAAUAGAUCCCAACUUUUAACAAUUUUCAUAAGUGUUGCAGAAUGCAUGUGAGUCCUUGAACAUGGUGGGCCAGUAAAAUCCACUUUGUAAGAUUUUUGCAGUUGUUUUUUUGACAAGAAAUGACACCCACAUGCCUCAGAAUGACCAAAUUUAAUGACGCUACUUCCCUCAUUGAUGAUUAUGUUUUUAUUAUAUAUGGGUCCCUGCAUUCUUGAUUAUGUUUAAAAACAUCCCCGUCCCUUUUUACCUCACUUUUUCUAGUUUUGAUCAAGGUUGUCAAUUCCGGUCUGUUUUGUUUGGAAUGGUCGAAACAUUUGAUACUUAUUAAAAAACAUAACAAAACGAAAAAAGUUUCAUCUUAUUUUAAAUCUCGGUCCAUUCCGGAGUUUUUGACUAAAUUUUGACUGGAAUGUUCCGGUUUCAUUCCACAUAUUUCAUUCUGGUCUUGAAAAGCCAUUGAAUCAAAUUGAAUCUGGUUCAAUUUAAUUAAUUAAACCACCCAAAUAUAAAAAGCUUUUUUUAAUUACUAUUUUCAAUUACAAUGAUACUAAUAAUAAUAUUGAAAAUUAUUAUUACUAUUUUCAUUAACAAUGAUAUUAAAUUUUUAAAAUUAGAUUUAUCACUAACAAUGAUACUAAUUUAUUAUUUAUGGAUAUUUUGAAAGUUGUAGAAUAUAUAUAAGAAACAUAAAUUAAUAUUUAAAAUUACUUUAUCACCAAUAAUAAAUGGAAUAAAAAUAAAAUUCAUAAUAUAAGUAAAAAUUUAGUUAAACUUACACUAAUGCAAAUAAGUCAAAAUACAAUAAAAAGAUACAAUUAUGGUGCUUGUUGUGGAGAUGAACCAUGAUAUUGUGGAUCAACAUAAGAUGAAUUAUGACAUGAUGGUCGAGGUGUAGGUCAAUAUAUUGGUGGAGAUGUGGGAUCCAUAGGUGUCAUUUUAUGGGGAGCCAUAUGUGGCUCCAUUGAUGGGGCCAUAAGUGCUGGCAUACCUUGGCCAAUGUUUGAUGUCCCACCAUGAUAUCCAAGAUUGUUCAUAAGAUAUUCUUUCAUAGAAUCCAUCUGUCGUUUCAUUUCAAAAAUAAAAUCAUCUCUUUUCUUUAUCCCGCUUCUUUUUUCUUUAUCUCCUUUUGCAAUGCUCGAUAAGAUGAAUUAGGAUAUUGUGACUUCACCGAGUAGGAAUGUGAUGAAGAACUUGUAAUCACUAUAGAUUUUGGCAUACGAGGUGCACUAUAUACCCUACCCUUUGUAACUCCUCCUGAAGCCACCACCAAGCUGCUCCAUCAAAUGAAGAAUGAUUUUUCCUAUUAGUUCCGUACUUUGAAAUCAUCUCCUUCUUAUCAUUUUCCUUAAAAAUAAAAUACAUACAAUAAUAAAUUCAUUUGAAUGUUAAAUAGUAUUUAAGUUAUAUAAAUAAAUAAAUAAAAAUACAUACAAUCACUUUCUUAGACUUGCUAUUUACAAAGAUUCUAAACUGCUUAGUACUUUGAUGCAAAGCUGAAACGACAUCAUCUCAUGAAGGUUUUUUUUUCUACCAACUUGCUUUUGCUAGGAAUUAUGAAACAUGUCCGUCAUGAACUCUCAUAAGUCUCUCAUCAUUUUGACAAUAUCUUGCAUUGGACUGUGUAAUUCAACACCUUCGAUGCGGACCUGGAUUUCGGGUAGAAAUCAUGAUGCUAUUUUAUGACAUGGAAAACAAAAUUAGGGUAUUUUUUAAACCUUUAUGAACUCUCACAACUCUCACAAGGCUCUCACCAUUUUGACGAUCUUUUGUAAUGGACUGUGUAAUUCAACACCUUCAAUUCAGACCUGGAUUUUAGCUAGAAAUCUUGACGCUAUUUUAUGAUAUGGAAAACAAAAUUAUGUUUUAAUUUAUAUAUAUGGGUCCCUGCAUUCUUCAUUAUGUUUAAAAACUUCCCCAUCCCUUUUUACCUCACUUUUUUCUAGUUUUGAUCAAGGUUGUCAAUUUCGUUCUGUUUUGUUUGGAAUCACCGAAACAUUUCAUAUCUAUUAAAAAACAUAACAAAACAGAACAAGUUUCAUCUUAUUUUAAAUCUCGGUCCAUUCCGGAGUUUUUGACUAAAUUUUGACUGGAAUGUUCCGGUUUCAUUCCACAUAUUUCAUUCCGGUCUUGAAAAGCCAUUGAAUCAAAUUGAAUCUGGUUCAAUUUAAUUAAUUAAACCACCCAAGUAUAAAAAGCUUUUUUUAAUUACUAUUUUCAAUAACAAUGAUAUUAAUAAUAAUAUUGAAAAUUAUUAUUAUUUUCAUUAACAAUGAUAAAAUUUUUAAAUUAGAUUUAUCACUAAUAUAUAUGGUUUAUUUCAUGUUUUUUUUCAUGUUUAUACUUUGGAGAAAUUUGAGCAAAACAAGGGAUGCUUUAGAUCCCAUUAGCCUCGAUAACGUUGAACUAGCUUUAUAUGUAAAAUAUUGGUAUUAAAACAUUUUACUUUCAUAAUAUUUUGAUAUUUUGUUUAAGUUAGUUGAGAAUAAUGGAAUGUGUUGGGUUGUGCCUUAGCCAACCUUCCUAUUUAUAUAGAGGCAGCAAAACACUGCAGUAACUAUAAUGAUUACAACAUCCUAUAUUACUUUCCUAUCCUGAUAGAUACAUGAGUAACUGUAAUGAUAACAACAUCCUAUAUUAAUUUCCUAUUCUACAAUAUGCCCCCUCAAGUUGAGGGUGGGGGAUCAACUCGAAGCUUGAACCAAAAGAAGUAAAGGAUGCAACAUGAAGCGGUUUAGUGAAGACAUCGACAAGUUGAUCCCGAGAGGGAACAAAAUGAAUCUGAAUUUCUUUCUUGGCAACACGGUCACGAACAAAGUGAUAAUCCACUUCAACAUGCUUUGUACGAGCAUGGAAGAUAGGAUUUGCUGAGAGAUAGGUAGCACCAAGAUUAUCACACCAAAUGGUAGGAGCAGAGACUGAGGGAACUUGCAAAUCUGUUACACAGUUUGGCCAAAUGACUUCAAGCGGUACCAUCAGCAAGGGCUUUAUACUCAGCCUCAGUAGAGGAGUGAGCAAUAGUGCGUUGCUUGCCGGAUUUCCAAGAAAUCGGCGUCUGACCAAAAAAGACAAGAUAGCCGCCUGUAAACUUGCGAUCAUCAAUAACCAGCCCAAUCUGUAUCUAUAAAGCCAUGUAGAGCAAAAGAGGAGCCUUGAGUGAUAUGGAAACCAUAAGAUGUCGUACCUUUAAGAAAUAGCGUAAAAUACGUUUGACAGCGGCCCAAUGAGAAAUGUAAGAGCAUGCAUAAACUGACAGACUCUGUUAACAACAAAGCAUAUAUCUGGACGGGUGAAGGUAAGAUAUUGAACGGGUAUGCGUUUUUGAUAUGCGAACUUGAAUGCUAUAUUUACAGCUUUUAGUAUAUAAUUAGCUUGCUAUACAUGUUAUUUUCUCAAACUUUAAUGUUAUUUAUUUAUUUCAGGUCAGGUUCGGGUAGACCAAUAUCCAUACUCUACUCGGACUUGACUUUUUCCAUUUGAUUUAUUCGAAACUCGAUUGAGUCUAAAAGUUUUCUAUUUGAAUCGAUUGAGUUAGUAUGCAUAGGUAAAACUGUCAUGGUAAGUAUAAUCCAAAUACCAUAUUGUUUGGCAAUGAUAUGCUUUGCUAUUAGUUCUAACAUGACAACUAACAAACUAUCAACCCAACAAAAAGAUAUAAAAUCAUGUUAAAGAAUUAUCUCAACCACAAAACUUAAGUUGUUAUGUAAAGUUUUAAGAUAUAAUUAUAUUAUUAUCUAACCACCUCUCGAAUGAAAGCAUUUUGGGCUUGAAACUUGCAAACCCAUAUUACCUUGUGCUUUUUUUAUUCAAAUAUAGAGAUGGUGAGAUUCGAACUCGUAAUUACUUAAUUAUCAAGGCUAUAAUACCAUAUCAAAGAACCAUCUCAACACAAUAACUUAAACUAUUAUAUAAGAUUUCAAAUAAUUUAUAUUACUCUUUAAUCAUUUCGAUAUUAAUUUACAUGUAAGGGCAUAUUGUAUUCUGAAUGCCCCACGAAGACAGAAAGAGUUGGAAGAAAAAGGCUAGAAGCUAGAUGCUAGAGCAUGGAGCUAUGGACCAAUCUAUGAACUUUUCAGCCAGCAGAGCAAGUUGUUGUUUGGAGCCCUUCUACUUUAUAAAUUCUGAAGAGGCAAGAAAAAGAAGACUUUCAUCUUUUUUCGAGAGACAGAAGGCAUGCUAAUGAAACUAGGGGUGGGGGAGUUUUGUAGGUGAAGACCACGAGAUGAAGCACACACGGGGAAGGAAGAAUUAGAGCUUCGUGACAAACCUAAGAUUUUUGAAUUGUUCUCUUUUUUUUCAUGCUCAUGCAGCAGAUUAUCCUACGUAGACCACCAUUACCACAACAAGGAAGAGAUAGAGAGCUGCUAGUCAGCAAAUCUGCUGCAACUUGGUCCCUUGUUCUAUAAAUGGCUGCUGAUGUCGAGACUCAAAAAUCACUUCAAUUUCAAGAUCAAGAUUGAGUUUAUACACUAAUUCUUGCAUUAAUAUCAGUACUACUGCCAUUGAGACCAUGGCCUUCAAGACAUUUUCUUUGUUUCUCUCGUGAUUGCUGCAAUAUUGCAGCCCCAGUUGCUGAAGCUCAUUGGGCUUAUUGGCGGUCUUCUGGGUUUGAUCCGAUCCAAGGGACUAUUUUGCACUGCCGAUGGCAAUAUUGGUGCUAAUGGCACAGCAACCCCUGUUUUCCCUAGUAUGCUUGCCCUGAUUCCUCUCUUUUCUUUUUUCUUUUCUUUUGAUCGAUAGUAAAGUAUCCUCGGACCAGAUUGUCAUGUUAUAGUUACCAUUCAUCACAUACGACAUCGUCGAAUGCAAUUUGACUUUGUUCUUCUUCUUAUCUUGCUUAUAAAGUUGUAAUUACAGUAACGGGUUUUUUCUUGCAGAUGCUCUCGUGCAGUUGCAAUGUGGAGGAAAUGUGGUUUCUACGUCAACACCAAUGGAUCUGGGAUGUUUUCUAUUUUGUUGGUCCUCUAAAUUAUAUUCUUUCCUCGGUAUUGAGCGACUGCAACCUGAAGGUCGUCACCGCUGAUCAGCUGCACUCAGUCUCCCUUGCUGUGGGUGGCUCCUAUCACCCUUACAGUUCAUCGGGAACACUGCUCUAGGAGCCUCUGAGUGUUGCAAACAUCAUCCCUGCCGGAUUCCGAUUCGUGCCUUAAAUUAGGAGACCACUGUAGUGAAGGCGGCAUUUAUUAUAUUUAGUAUGGCCAUUGCUAUGUACUCUUUUAUGAAUAAGGCUGUUGUAUUUACGUGUGUACUGUUUAUUGUUUUUCUUGCUUCCCAGGAUAAGGUCAUGAUUGGCUAUGCCAUUAUAUUAUAUAAUGUAUAUAUUUAGCGGUCUAAAUUACGAGGGGCCUACUAAAAAACGUAGCAAGUAUUUUGAUGCAAAUAAAACUAAUUUGUUGCUAAAACAUUUAGCAACAAAAUUAGCAACAUCGAUGUAUUAUAUGCAGAUUUGUUUUGUUGAUUUUAUAAUAGGGAUUUGUCGGUUGUUGAUUUAUCAGUAAUGAAUAAUCUAUUGCUCACAAUUGCAUGGAUUUUCCGUGCUAACAAUUAGAAUGUCUGUUGCUGGUUUUUUGAAUUAUUUACAAUCAACAACGAAAAAUCCGUAGCUAAUUAUAUGAUUUUAUUUAAUUAAUAUAUAUUAUAUAUUUUAUCCAAAUGACUUUUUUUUAAUUUAUUAUUUAUGGAUAUUUGAAAGUUGUAGAAUAUAUAUAAGAACAUAAAUUAUAUUAUUAAUUACUUUAUCACCAAUAAUAAAUGGAAUAAAAAUAAAAUUCAUAAUUAAGUAAAAAUUUAGUUAACUUACACUAAUGCAAAUAAGUCAAAAUACAAUAAAAGAUACAAUUAUGGUGCUUGUUGUGGAGAUGCAUGAUUGUGGAUCAACAUAAGAUGAAUUAUGACAUGAUGGUCGGGUGUAAGGUCAAUUAUUGGUGGAGAUGUGGGAUCCAUAGAUGUCAUUUUAUGGGGAGCCAUAAGUGCUGGCAUACCUUGGUCAAUGUUUGAUGUCCCACCAUGAUAUCCAAGAUUGUUCAUAAGAUAUUCUUUCAUAGAAUCCAUCUGUCGUUUCAUUUCAAAAAUAAAAUCAUCUCUUUUCUUUAUCCCGCUUCUUUUUUCUUUAUCUCCUUUUGCAAUGCUCGAUAAGAUGAAUUAGGAUAUUGUGACUUCACCGAGUAGGAAUGUGAUGAAGAACUUGUAAUCACUAUAGAUUUUGGCAUACGAGGUGCACUAUAUACCCUACCCUUUGUAACUCCUCCUGAAGCCACACACCAAGCUGCUCCAUCAAAUGAAGAAUGAUUUUUCCUAUUAGUUCCGUACUUUGAAAUCAUCUCCUUCUUAUCAUUUUCCUUAAAAAUAAAAUACAUACAAUAAUAAAUUCAUUUGAAUGUUAAAUAGUAUUUAAGUUAUAUAAAUAAAUAAAUAAAAAUACAUACAAUCACUUUCUUAGACUUGCUAUUUACAAAGAUUCUAAACUGCUUAGUACUUUGAUGCAAAGCUGAAACGACAUCAUCUCAUGAAGGUUUUUUUUCUACCAACUUGCUUUUGCUAGGAAUUAUGAAAGAACAUGUCCGUCAUGAACUCUCAUAAGUCUCUCAUCAUUUUGACAAUAUCUUGCAUUGGACUGUGUAAUUCAACACCUUCGAUGCGGACUUGGAUUUCGAGUAGAAAUCAUGAUGCUAUUUUAUGACAUGGAAAACAAAAUUAGGGUAUUUUUUUAAACCUUUAUGAACUCUCACAACUCUCACAAGGCUCUCACCAUUUUGACGAUCUUUUGUAAUGGACUGUGUAAUUCAACACCUUCAAUUCAGACCUGGAUUUUAGCUAGAAAUCUUGACGCUAUUUUAUGAUAUGGAAAACAAAAUUAUGUUUUAAUUAUAUAUAUAUGAGUCCCUGCAUUCUUCAUUAUGUUUAAAAACUUCCCCAUCCCUUUUUACCUCACUUUUUUCUAGUUUUGAUCAAGGUUGUCAAUUUCGUUCUGUUUUGUUUGGAAUCACCGAAACAUUUCAUAUCUAUUAAAAAACAUAACAAAACAGAACAAGUUUCAUCUUAUUUUAAAUCUCGGUCCAUUCCGGAGUUUUUGACUAAAUUUUGACUGGAAUGUUCCGGUUUCAUUCCACAUAUUUCAUUCCGGUCUUGAAAAGCCAUUGAAUCAAAUUGAAUCUGGUUCAAUUUAAUUAAUUAAACCACCCAAGUAUAAAAAGCUUUUUUUAAUUACUAUUUUCAAUAACAAUGAUAUUAAUAAUAAUAUUGAAAAUUAUUAUUACUAUUUUCAUUAACAAUGAUAAUAAAUUUUUAAAAUUAGAUUUAUCACUAAUAUAUAUGGUUUAUUUUCAUGUUUUUUUUUCAUGUUUAUACUUUGGAGAAAUUUGAGCAAAACAAGGGAUGCUUUAGAUCCCAUUAGCCUCGAUAACGUUGAACUAGCUUUAUAUGUAAAAUAUUGGUAUUAAAACAUUUUACUUUCAUAAUAUUUUGAUAUUUUGUUUAAGUUAGUUGAGAAUAAUGGAAUGUGUUGGGUUGUGCCUUAGCCAACCUUCCUAUUUAUAUAGAGGCAGCAAAACACUGCAGUAACUAUAAUGAUUACAACAUCCUAUAUUACUUUCCUAUCCUGAUAGAUACAUGAGUAACUGUAAUGAUAACAACAUCCUAUAUUAAUUUCCUAUUCUACAAUAUGCCCCCUCAAGUUGAGGGUGGGGGAUCAACUCGAAGCUUGAACCGAAAAGAAGUAAAGGAUGCAACAUGAAGCGGUUUAGUGAAGACAUCGACAAGUUGAUCCCGAGAGGGAACAAAAUGAAUCUGAAUUUUUUUUUGGCAACACGGUCACGAACAAAGUGAUAAUCCACUUCAACAUGCUUUGUACGAGCAUGGAAGAUAGGAUUUGCUGAGAGAUAGGUAGCACCAAGAUUAUCACACCAAAUGGUAGGAGCAGAGACUAAGGGAACUUGCAAAUCUGUUAACAAGUAUUGAAGCCAAAUGACUUCAGCGGUACCAUCAGCAAGGGCUUUAUACUCAGCCUCAGUAGAGGAGUGAGCAAUAGUGCGUUGCUUGCCGGAUUUCCAAGAAAUCGGCGUCUGACCAAAAAAGACAAGAUAGCCACCCGUAAACUUGCGAUCAUCAAUACUACCAGCCCAAUCUGUAUCUAUAAAGCCAUGUAGAGCAAAAGAGGAGCCUUGAGUGAUAUGGAAACCAUAAGAUGUCGUACCUUUAAGAUAGCGUAAAAUACGUUUGACAGCGGCCCAAUGAGAAUAUGUAAGAGCAUGCAUAAACUGACAGACUCUGUUAACAACAAAGCAUAUAUCUGGACGGGUGAAGGUAAGAUAUUGAACGGGUAUGCGUUUUUGAUAUGCGAACUUGAAUGCUAUAUUUUACAGCUAUUUAGUAUAUAAUUAGCUUGCUAUACAUGUAUUUUUCUCAAACUUUAAUGUUAUUUAUUUAUUUCAGGUCAGGUUCGGGUAGACCAAUAUCCAUACUCUACUCGGACUUGACUUUUUCCAUUUGAAUUUUAUUCGAAACUCGAUUGAGUCUAAAUUUUUUCUAUUUGAAUCAAUUUGAGUUAGUAUGCAUAGGUAAAACUGUCAUGGUAAGUAUAAUCCAAAUACCAUAUUGUUUGGCAAUGAUAUGCUUUGCUAUUAGUUCUAACAUGACAACUAACAAAACUAUCACACCCAACAAAAAAAGAUAUAAAAUCAUGUUAAAGAAUUAUCUCAACCCAAUAACUUAAGUUGUUAUGUAAAGUUUUAAGAUAUAAUUUAUAUUAUUAUCUAACACACCCUCUCAAAUGAAAGCAUUUUGGGCUUGAAACUUGCACAAACCCAUAUUACCUUGUGCUUAAUUUUUAUCAAAUAAAUAGAGAUGGUGAGAUUCGAACUCGUAAUUACUUAAUUAUCAAGGCUAUAAUACCAUAUCAAAGAACCAUCUCAACACAAUAACUUAAACUAUUAUAUAAGAUUUCAAGAUAUAAUUUAUAUUACUCUCUAAUCAAUUUCGAUAUUAUUUACAUGUAAGGGCAUAUUGUAAUCUGAAUGCCCCACGGAGACAGAAAGAGUUGGAAGAAAAAAGGCUAGAAGCUAGAUGCUAGAGCAUGGAGCUAUGGACCAAUCUAUGAACUUUUCAGCCACGCAGAGCAAUUUGUUGUUUGGAGCCCUUCUACUUUAUAAAUUCUGAAGAGGCAAGAAAAAGAAGACUUUCAUCUUUUUUCGAGAGACAGAAGGCAUGCUAAUGAAACUAGGGGUGGGGGAGUUUUGUAGGUGAAGACCACAGAUGAAGCACACAGGGGAAGGAAGAAUUAGAGCUUCGUGACAAACCUAAGAUUUUUGAAUUUCUCUUUCUUUUCAUGGUCAUGCAGCAGAUUAUCCUACGUAAACUCACCAUCACCACAAACAAGGAAGAGAUAAGAGAGCUGUUAGUCAGCAAAAUCUGCUGCAACUUGGUCUCCCUUGUUCUAUAAAUGGCUGCUGAUGUCGAGACUCAAAAAUCACUUCAAUUUCAAGAUCAAGAUUGAGUUUAUACACUAAUUCUUGCAUUAAUAUCAGUACUACUGCCAUUGAGACCAUGGCCUUCAAGACAUUUCUCUUUGUUUCUCUCGUGAUUGCUGCAAUAUUGGCAGCCCCAGUUGCUGAAGCUCAGCUUGGGCUUAUUGGCGGUCUUCUGGGUUUGAUCCGCAUCCAAGGGACUCUAUUUUGCACUGCCGAUGGCAAUAUUGGUGCUAAUGGCACAGCAACCCCUUUUCCCUAGUAUGCUUGCCCUGAUUCCUCUUCCUUUUCUUUUUUCUUUUCUUUUGAUCGAUAGUAAAGUAUCCUCGGACCAGAUUGUCAUGAUUACAUAGUUACCAUUCAUCACAUACGACAUCGUCGAAUGCAAUUUGACUUUGUUCUUCUUCUUAUCUUGCUUAUAAAGUUGUAAUUACAGUAACGGGUUUUUUCUUGCAGAUGCUCUCGUGCAGUUGCAAUGUGGAGGAAAUGUGGUUUCUACGUCAACCACCAAUGGAUCUGGGAUGUUUUCUAUCUUGUUGGAUCCUCUAAAUUAUAUUCUUUCCUCGGUAUUGAGCGACUGCAACCUGAAGGUCGAUACACCGCUGAUCAGCUGCAACUCCAGUCUCCCUGCUGUGGGUGGCCUCCUAUCACCCUUACAGUUCAUCGGGAACACUGCUCUAGGAGCCCUCCUGAGUGUUGCAAACAUCAUCCCUGCCGGAUUCCGAUUCGUGCCUUUAAAUUAAGGAGACCACUGUAGCUGAAGGCGGCAUUAUUAUUAUUAUUAGUAUGGCCAUUGCUAUGUACUACUUUAUAUGAAUAAGGCUGUUGUAUUAUACGUGUGUACUGUUUAUUGUUUUUUCUUGCUUCCCAAGGAAUAAAGGUCAUGAUUGGCUAUGCAUUAUAUAUAUAUUUUUAUCCAAAUGACUUUUAAUUUUUUAAUUUAUUAUUUAUGGAUAUUUUGAAAGUUGUAGAAUAUAUAUAAGAAACAUAAAUUAAUAUUUAAAAUUACUUUAUCACCAAUAAUAAAUGGAAUAAAAAUAAAAUUCAUAAUAUAAUUAAAAAUUUAGUUAAACUUGCACUAAUGCAAAUAAAUCAAAAUACAAUAAAAAGAUAGAAUUAUGGUGCUUGUUGUGGAGACGAACCAUGAUACUGUGGAUCAACAUAAGAUGAAUUAUGAUAUGAUGGUCGAGGUGUAGGUCAAUAUUGUAAGAGUCUGAAGUGUACAACUCGAUUAAUGUUAAAAGAUCCCAAUAUAUCAUCUUAUUUGAGGGUAAUUUUUUUGUUUUCAUUUCCAAAAAUUUGACAGAGUUUCAUUUGUAUUUUGGACAUCUCAAGUUAUCGACUACUAUCAAUUUACUCAAUCAACCCAUCAUCACAAGGUCCCAUAAUUUUGGACCUUAUAUCAAACCUCAUAAUUCCACACCUCAUACAAUCCACACACAAUAUAUAUAUAUAUAUCUUACGAGUAAGUUCAAUAUGAACAUAGUCCAACACAUCAUAUCAUAAAAUUUAAAAGAAAAGGAAUAAUAACAUGCAAAGAAAGCAUUUACAAUAUAAGAAGUGUUCUUAAAUAUUUCAAAAGGGUUAAUUACAAGAUAACUAAAAUACUACAUGCUCAGCUGAACCUUUGUAAAUAUAUCAAGAUUUACACAAACGUAUACUACAUAAACAUGUUAAUUCCCUUUUAUUUUAAGUUAAAUAUUUACAUAAGCUUCACAAAGUAGAGUCCUAAACUAAUGAUCUUCCUGGAUAUUUGAUGAACCUGUUACAUAAAUAAACAUACCAUUAUGUUGAUAAAGAAUAUAUAUAUAUGCUCAUGUAAUGAAUACAAAUGAAGUAUUAACUUUCUAUUGGAUCCAUAAGAAUAUUAACAGAGAACUUAUAUUUUGCUUGUAAGUCUUUUAAACCCAAUUAACACUCAUUUAUAUACUCUUAAUUUCAAUACUCUAAUUUACUUGCAUGAACUGCAUCACCUUGCAAAGUUUAAUCUUGUAAUUCAUUUCCCGACAAUCCUAUCAUGGAUGCCAUUAGCCGAAGCUAAUCUUGUAAAUCAUCUCCCGGCAAUCCUAUCACGGAUGCCAUUAGCCGAAGCUAAUCUUGUAUUUACGCUAGACUUUAUUUACAUUGAACACAACAUUUAUUGUAAUUGCAUUCACCAGAAGAAUUUUAAAUUGUAUAAGUGCAAAUAAGAGGAAAAUCACGCACCUCCUUUGCUUGUCUCGCGACCUCCCCUAACAGAAGAUCCAAUCCUGGUUGCUCCUCCUGAAUCAUAAUGAAGUUUUUAGUUAUGAUUCCUUCAAGUCGAUAUUAUAGAGAAUCUAUAUUCAUCCAUUACUCAUAUGUUACUUUCUAUGCAUGUUCAUUUUCUCAUAAUAUCAUACAUACAUAUAUCAUGUACAUUUUAAGAGUUAGUAUCUCAAUGUGCAAGUGUUCGUAUGACACAAUUCUUUUAUAUUCUUAUAUAUAGUAUUCACGUGAAAGUGUAUUAUUACUGUCUAACUUUAAACUGUUACUGUCCAAUUUUGAAAUGUUACUGUCCAAUUUUUAACCGUUACUUUCCAAUCGUUACUGUCUAAUUUUGAACUGUUACUGUCCAAACACUCACCAGAUUUUUAACUAUAUCUAAAGUUCUAAAACUUCAUUUUAAGUGACAUUAAUCUCGUUAUAAAGCUAAGACACGAGGCUACAAGUUUUAUGAAGGGAGGAGAGCCUAGUUUUGCCUCUAAGAUAGUCAAAAUUGCUCAUAAAAUAGUUAGUCCUACUGCCCUACAUAAUCAGUCACGACUCAGUCUCAGUUGGUAACCCAUAACUGGAGUUCUACAUCUCCAAGUUGAGCAAGACCAGUUUCCUUGGUUAGCUCACAUUCAAAUCUACAAUUUCUAUGAGAAACCCGAUCCUAAUCCCCUCAUUCUCCUACCCAAAAUCUCAUCGAAAGUUAGGAGACAAGUCUGUCAUUUUUAUUGGUAGGAAAAGGACAGAUUUAGUUAGUCGAUCCACAAUGACCAAGAUUGCAUCAUUUCCCCUCUUUGCUUUGGGUAGUCUCGACACAAAGUCCGUUGUGAUCAUCUCCCACUUCCACUCAGGGAUUGGUAAUGGUUGUAACAGCCCUGCCGGUUUUCGGUGUUCUACUUUUACUUGUUGGCAAAUACUACAUUUUGCCACGUAACUAGCCACUUCUUUUCUCAUAUUUGGCCACUAGUAGUACUGCUUCAUAUCCUUGUAAAUCUUAGUACUACCUGGAUGUACAGUGAACUUAGACUCAUGAGCUUCUCGUAGUAACUUUUGUUUAAGGGCUUUGUUGUCCGGCACAUACAUACGUCCCCCUAACAUCAUUAUUUUAUGAUCACCCAUUCAAAAAAGAGUUUCACAUCCCGAUUCCAGUUUGAUUCUCACUUUUGACACCUCAUCAUCAUGUUGUUGUGCCUUUAAUAUUUUCUCUUGAUAUCCUGACUUCACCCUUAGUUGAGCCAUUAAGGAUCCUUCCAGACUCACAUCUAAUAUUGUCCCCAACCUCUUUAGCUCAAUCAUAGUUUCCUCAUUCCAAGUCGUUGGUCCACCCCUAAUCACCUUGUCUUUACGGCUGAGAGCAUCCGCGACUACAUUCGCUUUUCCUGGAUGGUAAUCUAUAUUAUAGUCAUAGUCUUUAAUUAAUUCUACCCAUCUCCGUUGUCGCAUAUUCAACUCCUUCUACGACAUCAGAUAUUUAAGGCUCUUAUGAUCCGUGAAAAUUUAGACUUGGGAUCCGUAUAAGUAAUGCCUCCAUACUCGUAAAGCAAAAACUACUGCUGCCAAUUCUAUGUCAUAAACUGGGUAAUUGACUUCAUGAGUCUUCAGUUGUCUCGAUGCAUAGGCAACUACUUUUCCAUGCUGCAUUAGAACACAACCUAGUCCUUUUCUUGAGGCAUCACUGUAGACUACAAAGCCUUCUGUUCCGGAUGGAAGGAUUAGCACGAGGGUAGUACUAAGCCUUCUCUUCAAUUCUUGAAAGCUCUCAUCGCACUCCUUUGACCACUCCCAUCUUAUGUUCUUCUUGGUGAGUUGUGUUAAUGGAGUUGCUAUCGUUGAAAACCCUUCGAUAAAUCUUCUAUAAUACCCUGCCAAUCCGAGAAAACUACAAAUUUCAGUUACCUUAGUAGGCCUUUCCCAUCUCAAAAUUGCUUCCACCUUUUGAGGGCCCACAAAAAUGCCUUUUGAAGACACUACAUGCCCCAAAAAGGUAACUUAUUUUAACCAGAAGUCACAUUUAUCCAACUUGGUAUACAACUAGCGGCUCCUCAGAGUCUGUAGUGUCUGUCUCAGGUGCUGUUCAUGCUUCUCAUAGGAUUUGGAGUAAAUCAAGAUGUCAUCGAUAUGAAUACAACAACAAACUUAUCAAGGUAUGGUUGGAAUACUCGGUUAAUUAAAUCCAUAAAAACUGCUCGAGCAUUAGUUAAUCCAAAGGGUAGCACCAAGAACCCAAAGUGAGUUCUGAAGGCAGUUUUUGGCACAUCUUGCCCCUUGAUUUGUAUUUGGUAGUAUCCUAAUCUUAAAUCUAUAUUUGAGAAUACUUUGGCACCCUCAACUGAUUGAAUAAAUCAUCUAUCCGCAGAAGUGGAUUUAUGUUCUUUACCGUCACUUUAUUCAGCUGAUAGUAAUCUAUGCAAAGCCUCAACGUUCCAUCUUUCUUCUUCACAAAUAAUACAGGUGCCCCCUAAGGUGAGUUGCUUGGUCGUAUGAACACUUUGUCUAAAAGCUCCUGUAAUUGAAUUUUCAACUCAUCCAAUUCUUUUAGGGCCAUUCUAUAUGGUGGUUGGGCUAUAGGAGACACCCCAGGCAAUAUAUCUAUGGUGAUUUCAACUUCUCUUUCUGGGGGCAGUCCUGGCAAUUCUUCCAGAAAUACGUCUAGAAAUUCCCUCAUAAUUGGAAUGUCAGAAAUUCUUAUUUUACCAUUUUUCAAAUUUAUCACAUAGGCAAGGUAUGAUGUAAAACCUUUCUUUAGUAGUUUUCUCGCAACCAUACUCGAGAUCAUAUUUGUAAAGUUGGAAAUUUUCUCACCCUUAAAGACCAUUGUUUCACCCUUAGCCCCUUGGAAGGUUACUAUUUUUGUAAAGCAGUCUAGAGGAGCCUUAUUUUUGCCCAACCAAUUCAUACCUAUAAUUAUAUCAAAAUCACUUAAUUCUAUGGGUAUUAAAUAUGCUUUUAGUUCACACCCAUUCAUGUUAAUUCCCACCCCUUCAAAUACAACAUUUGUUUCCACAGUUUCACCCAAAGGUGUCCGAAUAAUAAAUCCUUUCUCUACCCUUUUUGUUUCCUUACUCAAUUUGGCUACAUUUUUAUUUGCUAUAAAAGAGUGAGUGGCACCAGAAUCAAACAAAACAUGUAUUUGAUAGUCAUUCAUUUGCAGCAUACCUGCCACCACAUCUGAUGCUGCUCUGACAUCCUCCUGGGUCAUUUGGAAAACCCUUCCUUGAUCUCUUUCAUUUUGCACUCUGGGUCGUCUCUUAUUUGAGUUAGCUCCUGACUAAGUCGACCUUCUCGGUCUGUUUACUGUGAUAGACUGCUGAUGACUCUGACUUUGCUGCCUAUAUCUCUGAGAUUGUUUAGUGUUUAACUGGGGGCAUUCCCUUUUAAAGUGACCCUUCUCACCACAGUGAUAACAUCCUCUUCCCAAGUACUGACAGGCGUGCCUCCCUCAGUUUCGGCGGUGCGGUAGGCGGUCGGCCAAUGUCUUCAGUCGGUGGGCUAGAGGGACCGGCGGUCGGUGGGCUGGAGGGACCAACGCCAUUAAAUAUACAUCUUUUUUCCUUCUUUACUGCUGUAUGUUAGGCGGGGAAGAAAGGGGAACAAUGCCGUUCAAAACGGCACCGUUUAGCCCUUUUCUGUUUUUUUUUUUUUUGCAUGGGCUGGUUACUGUGCACAUAGUAACCGGGUUACUGUGUGUACAGUAACCAGAGAAUUAAUCUACGGGUUACUGCGCCAGUACUGCGCACAUAUUUUUUUUUUUUUUUUGUAUUUAUUAUUUUUUUAUGGGGACCCAAAAAUGGGUUACAACAGUUGCCCCCCUCUUUACAAUGCUUACGGAGCAAAGAUUUGUGCAUAGUAAGUGUUGUAAAGAAAAAAACAUUGGUCUUCCGAAACUGGUCGUCUCAAAAUUUGAUUGACCUAAAACUUGAAUCGGACCCAAAGUCCUGUGUAUGGUUGGGCUAAACUGAGAUUCCUUUCGCCAAUCCCCUUUAACCCGAAAAAAAGGAAAGAAUGUGAAGUGUGGUCUCAUUGUAAUGGGUGACCUACCCAGAAAAAUGUUGGUGAGGGCUCAAAGGCGCACUCAAAAGGAGGUAGGGUUAGAAAACGCACUACCUAAGGGAUGAGGGCUCAAAAGCGCACUCAAAAUGGAGGUAGGGUUAGAAAACGCACUACCAAAGGGAUGAGGGCUCAAAGGCGCACUCAAAAUGGAGGUGAGGGCUCAAAGACGCACUCAAAAGGAGUUGAGGGCUCAAAGACGCACUCAAAAGGAGUUGAGGGCUCAAAGGCGCACUCAAAAAGGAGGUGAGGGCUCAAAGGCGCACUCAAGAUGGAGUUGAGGGCUCAAAGGCGCACUCAAAGGAGGUAGGGUUAGAAAACGCACUACCUAAGGGAUGAGGGCUCAAAGGCGCACUCAAAAGGCGGUGAGGGCUCAAAGGCGCACUCAAAGGAGGUAGGGUUAUAAAACGCACUACCCAAGGAUGAGGGCUCAAAGGCGCACUCAAUAGGAGUGAGGGCUCAAAGGCGCACUCAAAAUGGAGGUAGGGUUAGAAAACGCACUACCUAAGGGAUGAGGGCUCAAAGGCGCACUCAAACGGAGGUAGGGUUAUAAAACGCACUACCUAAAAGAUGAUGUUGAAACAAUGAUUGUCAAUGUUGAAAAGCAAAUGCAUUAUGAUUGAUAUGCAUAUAUACUUACCUGAGAAAUAUAGGCCCCCAUUUCUUCAUGGUGUCUUUGUUUUCUCUCAAAAGUUGUAGUGUUGGUAGUAAACUUCGAUGGCUUUUCCACUUUUGCUUACUCGGGUUACAUAUUGUGAUCUUGACCUCUGGGAAGGGUUUGACGUCAUCAUACAUCUUUGUCCUUCACCCCAACAAGUAGAGUUACCAAUUUUGCCCGUCAUUUUCCUUAGAACAGGAAUCAUGGAGCCAGCCCUACCAUGUGUUUUUGAUUGCCCCCCAGCUUGAUCAUGCCCCCCAAGUGUUCAACUUGGGUUUAGUUUGGGGUGAGGAUAUGUGAAAGUAAGUUUGGGUUUUUUGUACAAUGAAAUAUUUUCAUGCAAAAUUUUUUGGAACUUCAAAGUUAUGCCAAUCACAAAAAUGAUUUUGAUAUUGGUUCAAAAUAAACUUGUUCUAAAAAUUCAAGUGAUUCCUACGGACAGGUUUCUUGAAGUGAUGAAAGCUUUUUGCUUUUGGUUUAAAGAUGAAGUGACAUCUGGUUGGUCACAAAAGGUUUAAAUUUCAAUUUGAGGGUUAUUGAGAACCGAAUUGAGUCAAAGCAUUUAUUUUAUUCGCAUGAAUAAUGAUUUGACUUGCACGAGAAAACACUGCAUAUCGAUCCAGAUUGCUUGCCUUUGAUCAGAAAGGGCUUUAUCAGGUAUGUAAUGUAGGCUUUGGCUAUUGGUUACGAAGAAAAUGGAUAUGUUGCAGGCUCAAAAAGGUGUUUAAGGGAUUUCAAGAUUAGGGAUCACUUGUGCUUGUUUCCUGACCUUUUGUCUUUUGGAUUUGUUGUUUUCAAAAUAGUCUUCAUGCCCCCCAGUGUCGGGUUUGGGCUUUUCUCUUUGUUUUCUUCGUUUUUGUUUGGUUGAGCACAAUCAUAUCAGUUGUUUGUAUGAGAAGCUCAAAUCUUUUAGAUCUUCUUUUCUUUUCUUACAUGAUCAAUUCCAGCACUCAUCUUCACUGCUUUGUCUGGAUGGUAAAAAUAACAAACUCUCUUAUUUUGCCCCCCAGUGUGGGGUGUGAUCCUAGUCAAGGUUAUUUCAAAAAAUAUUACUAGGCUCAAAAUGGGACUGCAAAGGAUAUUUUAGCCUUGUGAAAGGAUUAUCAAAGAUGGCCUUUCCUCAUCUCAAACUCAUGCAUUGAGGAUCGAUAGGUGUUGCUUUCAUGCGCGUAUGCAAAGUGAUUUAUUCAGUCAAAUAAAACUCAGCUUUUGAGUCACCUCAUAGUGUUGUUUGUCUUUAUUGUCUUUUUUUCUUUCAAGUUUUCUAGGUAUAUGUGUACCUAUUUAAGGAAUCACUUGAAUUUUCAAAAUGCAUUUGUUUUGGACAAAUAUCAACACGAUUUUUGUUUUUGUACUCACUUUGGAGGUCCCAAAAAAAAUCCUUGAAAACAUAUGAGAUUAAUGUAUGGGUUUGGAAGAAAGGAACACCAAAGGAUUCUUCAUGUUGUAGUGUUGUGAGCAAAGUUGCGCUCAAAAUGUUAUUUACAUAUAAUAACAACAAAGAAGAGUGUGAUGUGAACACAAGAAAACACAUGAUCUUAUUUCACAAGAGAAGCUCAUUAACAGAGAAAGUCUUAUUCAAAAGCAUUAACAAAAGGAAAUAACAAGGCAGGCUUCAUUCCUCUAUUUUGGCGAAUCUGUUCAUAGGCUAAACUCUUCUUAAAAGCUCUGCGUAGAGGACUCAAAGACAAUGCGGAACAACACCCCGGUCAAAAAUUCAAGCUAUCAUGCUGGACCAUUGAUGCUUUCCAAUUCCCCAAACAUUCCAUCCUAAUAUGCUUCAAGCAUGAUUAGGCAGCGGGUUCGUAUUCACAUUGGGGGUGUCUUCCAACUCUAUCCAACCAGCCUUGAUUAAUUGCAGAAGCUUUCUCUUGAAGGCGUUGCAGGUAUAGAUGCUAUGCCCAGUAAUACCGGCAUGGUAUUCACAUUUGAGUUCUGGCUUGUACCAAUUAGGAUAAGGUGGCUGCAGAGGUGUUAGAGGUUCUGGAGCUAUUUGCCCAAUGCUCAAUAGCUUUUGAUACAUCUCAUUCAGGGGUAAUGGUAGUGGAGGCAGUUGUUCUUGAACCCUUUGGAAAUUUCCAAUUUGGCUUUUGGCUUGAAAGUUUUGGGGUUUAGGUUUUUGGAUGUUGGCAAUUUGGGAUGGAGUAUGGUAAUUUUGGGAUGUAUUAUUUUUACCCAUGUAGCCAUCUUCAACAUGGUGAACCUCUUUUCUUUCGAAGCCUCUUUUCUCGGUUGGUGCAGAAAUUCUACCACUCUUGACACCUUGCUCUAUGCGUUCACACACUAUCACGGCAUCAGUGAAUUGUUGGGCUGAACUACCCAUCAUAUGUUCGUAAUAUGGUGCUUUGAGUGUGUUGGCAAAUAAAGAGACCAUCUCUUUGUCCAGAAGUGGGGGAUGUACUUGAGCAGCUAAUUCUCGCCAUCUUUGAGCAUAUUCCCUUAUGCUUUCUUUAUCCUUUUUCUCUAUAUUGGACAAACUGGUUCUGUCGGGCGCAAUGUCCAUGUUGUAUUUGUAUUGCUUGACGAAAGCAUCCACAAGAUUUUUCCAGUUGCGAAUUUUUGUGUUAUCCAAUCUCAUGUACCAACUCAAAGUUGCCCCACUUAAACUGUCUUGGAAAAAGUGCAUUAGUAGUUUUUCAUCAUGUACUACCUCAGCCAUUUUAUUGCAGUAGGACCUGAGAUGAGUCAUGGGGCAUUGUGUUCCACUGUAUUUGAUGAAUUCAGGAACACGAAAUUUCUUUGGGAUAACCACGUUUGGGACCAAACACAUCUCUGCUGCCCGUACCGGGUCAUAUAAGUCUACCCCUUCAAUGGCUUUGAGUCUGGCUUCCAGCGCCUCUAUCUUAGCUUGAUCAAUGCUAUCAGAUGACUUAGCCUUGUGGGACUCAUUAGCAGAUGCCUUCACAACUGUUGGGGAUGGUGCAGGUGUCGUUGACUGCACAAAUGUUGGAUUUUGCUGAGGUUCUUGACCAUGUUCGCUCAUUCUUUCCUCAGGCUGAACUGAAGUAGGAGCCGGAUCAAAGGUGAUCGGUUGAUUAGAAGGACCUUCAUCAGAGGUAUUUCUUAGUGUUUGCUUGAGUAAGCUAGUGAGGUGAGCCACACUUAUUUUCAGAGACUCCAACUCCUCGUGCAAAUAGGCAUCACGUUGAGCACGCUCUUCAUCUUCCAUGUUUCUUGCUCGAAGUCGGGUGUUGUAGACUUUUUGGGGACCUAUAUUUCAAUCUGACAUGUAUGCAUGUUAAAUGUAUGAACAUGUAAUCUAUAUGACGAACUCGCCCUUCGAGGGGUGACAUAUGGUCGCAACUCUUGUAUGAUGAAACAAGAAUCUUGAUUCUUGCACAAACUCUACAAUGAAAAUUUUCUGAGCGACGGUUAUUGUGUCACCCAUAAGUCUGGAGUUCAAGAAGGGCUUGCUCGGAUGCAAAACAAUGUGUACGGAGCAUACAUCCUAAAGGCAGGUUCUAAUAUUUUUAAGUGAGACAAAAGGUAGGUUUACUAUUUGGUCUCUAAAAAAGGACUCUCGUUGUCCCAGUGAUCGCCCUCGUGGAGGCAAUAUGGGGGCUUGUAGGCAGUGAGAUGGCACGUGUCCAACUAUUACCAGUCUAAGCACUCAACGAAGAGUUGGGGUUUACACAAACUUAAACCUUGACUAAAAGUCAUAAGGUAAGCUGCUAGUUCCCCCUAACCUGAAGCUUGUGUGUGCUUAAAAAAAAUUAACUAUGUGAUGCAUGAGAUAAAUAUGUACAAAAAUUAAAGCGCACAACUAAAUAUGAACAAAUAUAUAAAGAAAAUGCAUAUUUAAAAAUAAACACGCAAACCAAACAAUAAAACACAAUCAUCAACAAAAAACAAAGCUUAGUCACAAAGUCCCCAGUGGAGUCGCCAUUCUGUCGCACGUGUGCGCGGCGCGGCGAUCGUCCACCCUCAAGGAAAAAAUGGAAAAAUAUUUAUUCCUGGCAAAUAGGGAGAGAUAAGGAAUUCUUGUCUCUACAAGUGCAAAUAUGGACUGGGAGUCACCACCUAGUAUUCUGGUUACUAGGAACCCUAACUGGUCUUUAGAGAUCGGGUACGAAGACUGGUUGCGUAAAGGGAAGGUAUUAGCACCCCAACUACGCCCUACCUAAGGUAGGCUGCAUUGUUUUGUCUGAUAAAAUCUAAGGUCGUGUUGUGGUUUCUUAUUGUUCGGAAUACGCAUUACAUGUAAUGUCAUACCCCAGGUUCUAUUGUCCAAAAAAAAGAAUUAAAUAUCCGGAAUAUGCAUUACGUGUAAAGUCAUACCCCGGAUACUAAGAGAAACAAAAUAAAAUUUUUGUUGUUUUUGAAAUAUUGGCCAAUAUUCUCUUGACUUUAAUAAACUGGUUAUUAAAGCCAAAAUGCAUGCUAAAACAUUUUUUUUUGUGUAUGAAAAAAAUACAAUAUGAAUUUUUAGCUUUGAGACACUUGGCCGUAUGCACAAAAACAUUUUUUUUUCUUUUUUUAAUUUUUUGUAUUUUGUGGAAGUUUUUUUUUUUUUUACGAAAACCGGGUAUUUGAAAAAUCAGAUUUUUGUAUUUUUAACAACAUAAAAAAAUACCAUCAAAUAUUAAUCGAAAUGACAUAAAAAUUACACUAAAAAAAUUAUAAAAUACUGAAACAAAUAUUUUUGAUUUUUUUUCUUUGAAAUGGGCCGGAUCAGGCCCAAAUAUAUGGGUUGGGCCGAACCUGGCCCAAAGAAUGGGCUGGUCACUGUGCACAUAGUAACCGGGGGGUGCUGUACACACAGUGACCACAGAAUUAAUUAGCAAUGCACAGUAACCGGGGGUUACUGUGCACACAGUAAUGUGAAUUAAUUAGUGCACAGUAACUAGCUAAUUAAUUCUGCAGGACGUAAACGUUCUGCAUGAAUUGAAGCAAAAAAAAUGACGGGAAAGGUAGGACGUUACCUGGAGCUGUUGAUGCUGGCAGCAGCUGAUGCAGCAGGGGUGGCGGCGGCGGCGCUGGCGGUUCGCGGUGGCCGGUGGUUUUUCUUCUCUCUCUCUCCUCUGUUUUUUCCCGUUUUCUUCUCUGCCUCUUCCCUUCUUCUUCUCUGCCUUCUCUCCUCUCUUCUCACUCUAUUCUCCCUUCUGUUACCUCUUCUGUUCCCUCUCUCUGUCUGUCCUCCUUCCUCCUCUCUUCUCCUCCAUUUAUAGCCCGUGAGCAUGCGUUUUUUUUUUUUUCAUCGUGGGGUCAUGCGGCGGCUGGUCGGGCGUGGCUGUCCGGGCGUGCCUCCCUCAGUUUCGGCGGUGCGGUAGGCGGUCGGCCAAUGUCUUCAGUCGGUGGGCUAGAGGGACCGGCGGUCGGUGGGCUGGAGGGACCAACGCCAUUAAAUAUACAUCUUUUUUCCUUCUUUACUGCUGUAUGUUAGGCGGGGAAGAAAGGGGAACAGUGCCGUUCAAAACGGCACCGUUUAGCCCUUUUCUGUUUUUUUUUUUUGCAUGGGCUGGUUACUGUGCACAUAGUAACCGGGUUACUGUGUGUACAGUAACCAGAGAAUUAAUCUACGGGUUACUGCGCCAGUACUGCGCACAUAUUUUUUUUUUUUUUUUUUUGUAUUUAUUAUUUUUUUAUGGGGACCCAAAAAUGGGUUAUGGGUUACAACACCAAGUACUGACAGGUUUUCCACUUAUGACCUUCUCCUCGACAUAUAUAGCAUCGUCCAGGAGAAACCAUACAACUCCCGGGGUGUCUUUGUUCACAUUGAGCACAUCAAGGGUAGCCAAUUUCAAUAUGAUCAUUAUGCCCCUUUGUAGCUAUAGCCCUGGAAUGGGUUUGACCACUUCCUGACCUCCCACCGAUAUCCUUUUGGAAACUAGUUGACGUCCCCCCUUUCUUUUUGAAUUGAAGGAAUUGUUCGGCUCUACCUUUCUUUGGAAGUGGUGGCCUGCCUAAAAGUUCCAUAUCCUUUCGUUUUCCUGCACCCCUAUGACUCUAUUGGCCUUCUUCCAUACAAGCCUCCAAGGCCUGUGCUGCUUCAAUCAGUUCCCUUACUGUCCUGAAUUGCAAAGAAAUCAACCCCUGCUUCAAUUCUUGUCUGAAGCCAUCCCUUAACUUUUCUAUCAUGUGUUGUUCUGAUGGGACAUAAUGUGGUGCGAAUAGUGAGAGGUCAUGAAAUCAUCUCUCAUACUCAAGUACUGACAUUCCUCCUGUCUCAAGGCUAGGAAUUCUUGUUCCUUCAUCUUCCAAUGAUAUUUGGAGUAAUAGUGAUUCUCAAACUCUAUCUUGAAAUCAUCCUAGGAUAGGGUUUCUGUAGCCCUCCUCAACUGAACUGUCUCUCACCAAGUCAUAGCACCGUCUAAUAGUAAUUGAGUAGCACAAUCUACCCGUAAAUAAUGUGGUAUCUGAAUUUGAAUCAUGGUUUUUUCCACCUUUCUAAUCCACCUUCCCGCCACUUCAGCAUUAUAUUCAUCUAAGUAGGGUUCACAACCCAUUUCUCUCAUACUUUUCACCAAACGAACUAGUUGUACCACGUCAUUGGUAGCUAUAACUGCUUCUAAAACGGUUUGUAUGAUGGGUGCUGUUGCAAUAUCGCGGUCGCACAAAUUAAUUACCCUAGCUUCAAACACAACACACAAGAUAGUAUAGAGCAAGCAAGGGGUCAAUCCCAUGAGGAAGGUUCAAGUCAGAUUUUUAUGCUAGAUGAUAUGCAAUUUGGGGGGGGGGGGUUGGACGUUAUCUAGGCUAAAGCAAAAGAAAACAGAAAACUAUCAAACAAAUUUAAUAAAAUCAGAAAAUUAUCAAGAGAACAAACCUUAGUCGCAAGCACACAUCCACCUAUAGAAAUCAGAACUGAUCAUGGAAACGAAACAUCAAUUUAUAUUUUGAAUAUUUAUCUCUUCUUAACAUUGGUUAGUUAACGGAUCCGCCGUAUAACUAACGCUAACCAUCAAACAACCAUAGUGUCCGCACUAGUAAUUUAAUUCAAUGGCAGCCUUAAGAACUAGAUAAGUUUAUUAAUCAAGAAAACAUAAUUGUCCGUAGUCUAUUUUGAUUUGAUUGAAUGUUCUCCCUAAGAUUAAUAAUGUAGAUCCACCACAAUUAUUAAACUCAGUUGCUUCACAAGUUCAUAUACCAUAACUCCGGUUUUGAUAUCAAACUUAGCAAUAGAUUGUCUACAAUAAAAACUUAGAGUCCGCUCUAGCAAUUAAAAUAAACAAUCAUAGGAAAAAAAGCAUAGGAGAACAAACAUAUUCAUCAUAUAAACUGAAAAGAAAAGGUAAAAUAAAUCUCACAGUUCUUAAAAUCCGAAGGUUUCCAUGUCCUUGCAACCAAGAAAACGAGUUUAGCCUUGCAUGUUUGUUGAAUAACUAAUCAAAAAGAUGGAGGAAUGCAUGAUUUCGGGUUUUUAGAGAAGGGGGGGCAUUUUUCUCCUCUUGGCUAAUUGCCCCCUUCUCUUCUCUCAUUCUUUUUAUAUCAUAUGAAACCCUAGUCUCUAUUUUACAAAAUAAUCCUCUCUUAAGUAGACUAUUUACAUUUAAGUACUUCAAUAAUUAUUUUUCCUAAAAAAGAAGAAAUAGUCUAGCAUGAAAUAUUCAAGCUUUGACUUAGAGGAGCUAAAUUGCUAAAAUAAAAACUUGGAUAUUGGUUUAGAUGCUCCGGAACGUAAUUUGGACUCGUUUCUUCACGAAACCUAUUUGCUGGCAGAAUUCAGUUGUCAUCUUUGAAAAAUCAUAUCUACCUCAUAUGACAUCGUUUUUUGCUGAACUUUGGAGCGUUUAUAGGUCUUUGAGUCAGGAAUCCAACACAAUUUAGUUUUUAUCAAUUGGACUUUUGUAGCUUUAGAUAUUCAAGUCGGAAUGACCAAAGGUCAACACUGGCAGAUUGCGAGAUUUGACUUUGAAAGCUGCGAUUUCCAUGCUCUUCCUUAUUUUAUUGUCUUGCUUAGAUAUCCAGAAAGGUAUGGAUGUUAGCUUUUUAAUUCCACUAGAAUCACUUCAUUUUGACUUUUAGAGCUCAUGCUCUGCACAAAACAUCGAUUGAAGGUCAAAUAUGUCAAUUACCUCCAAUUUACUCCUUUUUGCAUCUUUCAUCCAAAAGUGCCUUCAAAACAUAAAACAAAGAAUAUCAAGGCAUUUUAUAUAUAAAACAUAUGCAAAACACUAGUUAAGUGUGGGUGAAACUAUCGAAUAAUAUGGUUGCAUCAGGUGCAGGUGGGGGUGCUGGCAUAGGAGUGGCAGCAUUAACCAUACCUUCCAUUACUGCUUUGACUAACUGGGCCAGGAACAUCGGAUCAACAUAAGAAACAUAUGGCCUUGCAGGUGUAGUCUAAGGGGGCUCCUCUACUCGUUCCCGUGGGGCUGAAAUGGUCGGUUGAACAUCCCCAGUUUGCCUUGAUGCCUGUCUAAUUUGAGGCCCCGUCGAUUCUUCAUGCCCUGCUUGAGUCGAUACUACCGAUGCAUGUGAAGCAUUAUCUUCCAAAGGGCUCUCUUCUUGCCCCUCAGAAAAGUCUAUAUCUCUAUUCCCCCUCCUUGUAGAGGAUAAAUCUAUUCUAAUCUCUUGACGGGUACGUACCAUCCUGCAAUAAAUUAAUGAACAUCAACAACCUCUUUUGAUUUCUUACCCGAACCUAUACCACGACUCUGAUACCAACUGUAACAGUCCAAAGUGUACGACUUGAUUAAUGUUAAAAGAUCCCAACAUAUCCUCUUUAUUUGAGGGUAGUUUUGUUUUUCAUUUCCAAAAAUUUAGCAGAGUUUCGUUUGCAUUUUGGACAUCUCAAGUUAUCGACUUUUAUCAAUUUACUCAAUCAACCCAUCAUCACAAGAUCUUAUAAUUCUGGACCUUAUAUCAAACCUCAAAAUUCCACACCUCAUACAAUCCACACAAUAUAUAUAUCCUACGAGCAAGUUCAAUAUGAACAUAGUCCGACACAUCAUAUCAUAAAAUUUAAAAGAAAAGGAAUACUAACAUGCAAAGAAAGUAUUUACAAUAUAAGUGUUCUUAAAUAUUUCAAAAGGGUUAAUUACAAGAUAACUAAAAUACUACAUGCUCAGCUAAACCUUUGUAAAUACAUCAAGGCAUACACAAAAGUAUACUACAUAAACAUGUUAAUUCCUUUUUGUUUUAAGUUAAAUAUUUACAUAAGCUUCACAAUGUAGAGUCCUAAACUAUUGAUCUUCCUGGAUAUUUGAUGGACCUGUUACAUAAAUAAACAUACCAUUAUGUUGAUAAAGAAUAUAUAUAUGCUCAUGUAAUGAAUACAAAUGAAGUAUUAACUUUCUAUCGGAUCCAUAAGAAUUCUAACAGAGAACUUAUAUUUUGCUUGUAAGUCUUUUAAACCCAAUUAACACUCAUUUGUACACUCUUAAUUUGAAUACUCUAAUUUACUUGCAUGAAAUGGGUGACCUUGCAAAGUUUAAUCUUGUAAUUCAUUUCCCGGCAUUCCUAUCACGGAUGCCAUUAGCCGAAGCUAAUCUUGUAAUUCAUAUCCCGGUAAUCCUAUCACGGAUGUCAUUAGCCGAAGCUAAUCUUGUAAAUCAUCUCCCGACAAUCCUAUCACGGAUGCCAUUAGCCGAAGUUAAUCUUGUAUUUACGCUAGACUUUAUUUACAUUGAACACGACAUUUAUUGUAAUUGCAUUCACCAGAAGAAUUUUAAAUUGUAUAAGAGCAAAUAGGAGGAAAAUCACGAACCUGCUUUGCUUGUCUCGCAACCUCCCCUAACAGAAGAUCCAAUCCUGGUUGCUCCUCCUGAAUCAUAAGGAAGUUUUUGGUUAUGAUUCCUUCAAGCCGAUACUAUAGAGAAUCCAUAUUCGUCCAUUACUUAUAUGUUACUUUCUAUGCAUGUUCAUUUCCUCAUAAUAUCAUACAUACAUAUAUCAUGUAUAUUUUCAGAGUUAGUCUCUCAAUGUGCAAGUGUUCGUAUGACACAAUUCUUUUAUAUUCUUAUAUAUAGUAUUCACGUGAAAGUCUACUAUUAGUGUCUAAUUUUCAACUAUUACUGUCCAAUUUUUAAUUGUUACUGUCCAACCGUUACAGUCUAAUUUUGAACUGUUACUGUCUAAUUUUCAACUAUUACUGUCCAACCGUUACUGUCUAAUUUUGAACUGUUACUGUCCAAACACUCAUCAAAUUUUUAACUAUAUCUAAAGUUCUAAAACUUCAUUUUAAGUGAGAUUAAUCUCGUUAGAAAGCUAAGACACGAGGCUACAAGUUCUCUGAAGGGAGGAGAACCCACUUUUGCCUCCAAGAUAGUCAAAAUUGCUCAUUAAAUAGUUAGUCGUACUGCCCUACAUAAUCAGUCACGACUCAGUCUCAGUUGGUAACCCAUAACUAGAGUUCUACAUCUCCAAAUUGAGCAAGACCAGUUUCCUUGGUUAGCUAACAUUCAAAUCUACAAUUUCUAUGAGAAACCCGAUCCUAUCCCCUCGUCCUCCUACUCAAAAUCUCAUCGAAUGUUAGGAGACAAGUCUAUCCAGGUUCGUCUCCCCCCUCCCCUUACACAAUACUUUCAUAAACUACAUACCACACACAUAAAUGAACUUAAUCUCAACAAUAAGUACUUUUUCCCCAAUUUAUGUCUAAGAACCCUAACCUAUGAUUCAAUAUCAAGGCAUCAAUUCUUUAUCGAAUUAAAAAAAAUAAAUUUUUUUUAAGAUCAUGUUUAGAAUACCUUACUCGGUACAAAUUACGAUUUUGAUCUUCAACCAGUAGAAGAUUUUCAACUCCCUCCUUUCUUUUCUUCUUGGUAAUCAUUUGCUCUCAAGUGUUUAUCCCAUCUAUAAGCUCUUAAUCUUGCAUGGGUUCUUGAAAUUUUAGUGUUUCUAUCUUGAUUUCUCAAGAAGGGGUAUAAAACUCCCUAUCUUCUCUCCUUAUGGUUCCUAUAGAUUUUUUUGGUGAGUAGAGAGUAUUGAUACUCUAUAUUUUCCUUUAUUUGCAUUUAGGCCCCCAUUUUUAUUUAAGUGUAUUAUUCUCUUCAAUUAAAUCCAACCCUUAACAGUACCAGGUUUAUUAUAAUGUCUCUAAUUAUUUCAUCCGGAAAUUUAUAUUCAAAAAUUUCUGAAUUUCUAUUUUUAUUUAAUGAUAUGCAUGAAUUUCUUCACUUUUACUUAUUUAUUAUAUAUAUAAUUUUUUUAUCCCGGGGUUUACAAAUAUAUUGGUGGAGAUGUGGGAUCCAUAGGUGUCAUUAUCUGGGGAGCCAUAUGUGGCGGCAUUAAUGGGGCCAUAGGUGCUGGCAUACCUUGGCCAAUGUUUGAUGUCUCACCAUGAUAUCCAAGAUUGUUCAUAAGAUAAUCUUUCAUAGAAUCCAUUUGUUGUUUCAUUUCAAAAAUAAAAUCAUCUCUUUUCUUUAUCCCGCUUUGUUUUUCUUUAUCUCUUUUUGCAAUGCUCGAUAAGAUGAAUUAGGAUAUGGUGACUUCACCGAGUAGGAAUGUGAUGAAGAACUUGUAUUCACUAUAGAUUUUGGCAUACGAGGUGCACAUUAUACCCUACCCUAUUGUAACUCCUCCUGAAGCCACACACCAAGCUGCUCCAUCAAAUGAAGGAUGAUUUUCCCGAUUAGUUCCAUACUUUGAAAUCAUCUCCUUAUCAUUUUCCUAAAAAUAAAAUACAUGCAAUAAUAAAUUCAUUUGAAUGUCAAAUAAUAUUUAAGUUAUAUAAAUAAAUAAAUAAAAUUACAUACAAUCACUUUUUUAGACUUGCUGUCUACAAAGAUGCUAGACUGCUUAGUACUCUGAUGCAAAGCUGAAAAGACAUCAUCUCAUGAAGGUUUUUUUUCUACCAAGUUGCUCUUGCUAGGAAUUAUGAAAGAACAUGUCCUUCAUGAACUCUCACAAGUCUCUCACCAUUUUAACGAUCUCUUGUAUUGUUCUGUGUAAUUCAACACCUUCGAUUCAGACCUAGAUUUCAGGUAGAAAUCUUGAUGUGAAAAACAAAAUUAGGGUUCUUUUUAUAUAUACCUUUACAGAUUUGUUUUGAAGUGAAAAUGGAACAUAAUUAUUCAGACUACUAAAAUUAUGGAACUAGUAAGGCCUUAAUGGCAUUGAACUAGACAUGGGAGAGAUUUAAAUGCAUGGUCCCUGCAUUCUUGAUUAUGUUUAAAAACGUCCUCGUCCCUUUUUACCUCACUUUUUCUAGUUUUGAUCAAGUCUUUCCAUUUCGUUAUGUUUCGUCUGGAAUGGCCGAGACAUUUCAUACGUAUUCAAAAAACAGAACAAUUUUCAUCUCAUUUCAAAUCUCGGUCCGUUCUGAAUUUUUUGGCUAAAUUUCAGCCGGAAUGUUUUGCUUUUAUUCCACAUAUUCCAUUCUAGUAUUGAAAAGCUAUUGAAUCAAAUUGAACCUGGUUCAAUUUAAUUAAUUAAACCACCCAAGUAUAAAAAAAAAAUUUAUUACUAUUUUCAAUAAAAAUGAUAUUAAAAAUAAUAUUAAAAAUUAUUAUUACUAUUUUCAUUUACAAUGAUAUUAAUUUUUUAAAAUUAGAUUUAUCACUAAUAUAUAUGGUUUAUAUUCAUGUUUUUUUUUUCAUAUUUAUACUAUGUAGGAAUUUGAGCAAAACAAGGGAUGCUUUAGAUCCCAUUAGUCUUGAUAACGUUGACUUAACUUUAUAUUUAAAAUAUUUGUGUUAAAACAUUUCUUUCAUAAUAUUUUGAUAUUUUGUUUAAGUUGAAUUACUUUAAGUUAAAGAUCUAUUUAAUUUUGAUUAUUUAGAAAUAUUUUAAAAUUUGAAAUUUUAUUUGUUUGACAUUGUGUUUGUAUUGCAUAAUUUAUAAUUAAUUUAUCUUGAAUUUUAAUGAUGUUUGUUGAAUAUGUAUAUAUGAACAAUAUAACUCCAAAACGGCAUGCCGAAACACUCUGAAACUGAAACAUUCCAUUCCAAUUAAAAAAAAACCCACCUACCGGAACAGAAUUGACAACCUUGGUUUUGAUUGUAUUUCCAAUUCAAAUCGUAAUUUAUAUGUAUGAAAAGAACUUUUUUUGCCAUCAUUUUUUUUUCUUCUGCGUUCCAUUAUUAUUUCUUUUCAAUUUUUAUAAUUUUUAUUGUAUAAUUCAAAUUUUGUUAGUGUUAUGAUGUUGUAGACUUCACGAUAAUAUUUAACAUCAUUAACAUGUAAUGAAGAUAAAAAUCAAACCUGCAAAGAUUAAAAUUAGUGCAAAAACAUGUAGAACAUUUUAAACACAAAACCAAGAAUACGUAACUUAAUUGAACAAUUAAGAGUUGGAAUACCUGAAUUUUAAUCCCUUGUCCUAAAAAAAUAAAUAAAAAGUGGAAUUAGGGGUAGCAAUAGAUAACUAACAGAGUUUUAUAUCAGGGAUGAUAAUUUAAUCUGAACUCGAUAGAUACCAACCUGAUUUGAAUGAAUGGAUGAAUAUUUUUUGUACUUGAUGGAUAAUGGAUAGAGUAUGGAUGUUGUGAAACACGACCUGAAACCUAUCCAAACCUAAAGUGGAAUAUAUUUGUAUAUUAUAUAAGUAUAUUUGUAAAAUACUUAGAUUUUUUAAUAGAAUAUGAUACAUACAUAUCUUGGUAUUGACAUAAUACACACUUAUAUAUAAACUAUUUUAUUUUUUAUUGAUUAAUAAAUAAUAGUAGAUAAUAAAUAACUAUUUGAUACCUGAAAUCCGAUGGAUAAUGAGUAGAGUAUGGAUAUCAAGAAAUCCAACCCGCGAGUAUGCAUUGUCAUCCCUGCUUUAUACUAUCUAUACCCGAAUUCAAAUCUAAAAUAACUACUCGAGCCUGAACGGGUAUGGGUUUUUGAUACCCGAACUUGAAUGCUAUAUUUUACAGCUAUUAGUACAUAAUUAGCUUGCCAUACAUGUAAUUUUCUCAAACUUUAAUGUUAUUUAUUUAUUUCAGGGCAGGUUCGGGGAGAUCAAUAUCCAUACUCUACGCGUACCUGACUUUUUGCAUUUGAAUUUUACUCGAAACUCGAUUGAGUCUAAAAAUUUUCUAUUUGAAUCGAUUCGAGUUAGUAUUCAUAGGUAAAACUGUCAUCAUAAGUAUAAUCCAAAUACCAUAAUCUUUGGCAAUGAUAUGCUUUGCUAUUAGUUCUACCAUGACAACUAACAAAACUAUCACACCCAACAAAAAAAGCUAUGAAAUCCUGUUAAAGAAUUAUCUCAAUCCAAUAAUUUAAGUUGUUAUGUAAGGUUCCAAGAUAUAAUUUAUAUUAUUCUCUAACAUCCCCCCUCAAGUGAAAGUCAUUUGGACUCGAAACUUGCACAAACUCAUAUUAUACUGUGCUUACUUUUAUAGAAUAAAUAGGAAUGGUAAGAUUCGAAUUUAUAAUUACUUGAUCAUCAAGACUCUGAUAACAUGUCAAAUAAUCAUUUCAACCUAAUUACUUAAAUUGUUAGAUAAAAUUUCUAAAUAAAUCUGAUAUUAUUCUAUAAUAAAUCUGAUAUUAUUUGUGUAAGGGCAUAUUAGUGCCCUCACAGAGAAGCUAAGUAGAGUGGCGAGAACCGGACGACGGAAAGAGUUGGAAGAAAAAAGGCUAGAAGCUAGAUGCUAGAGCAUGAAGCUAUGGACCAAUCUAUGAACUUUUAAGAGCAAGUGGAGACGAACAAUUCUAUCGGAGAACCCCCAAGUUUCAGCUACGCAGAGCAAGUUGUUGUUUGGAGCCCCUUCUACUUUAUAAAUUCUGAAGAGGCAAGAAAAAGAAGACUUUCAUCUUUUUUCGAGAGACAGAAGGCAUGCUAAUGAAACUAGGGGUGGGGGAGUUUGUAGGUGAAGACCACAGAUGAAGCACACACGGGGAAGGAAGAAUUAGAGCUUCGUGACAAACCUAAGAUUUUUGAAUUGUUCUCUUUCUUUUCAUGGUCAUGCAGCAGAUUAUCCUACGUAAACUCACCAUCACCACAAACAAGGAAGAGAUAAGAGAGCUGUUAGUCAGCAAAAUCUGCUGCAACUUGGUCUCCCUUGUUCUAUAAAUGGCUGCUGAUGUCGAGACUCAAAAAUCACUUCAAUUUCAAGAUCAAGAUUGAGUUUAUACACUAAUUCUUGCAUUAAUAUCACUACUACUGCCAUUGAGACCAUGGCCUACAAGACAUUUCUCUUUGUUUCUCUCGUGAUUGCUGCAAUAUUGGCAGCCCCAGUUGCUGAAGCUCAGCUUGGGCUUAUUGGCGGUCUUCUGGGUUUGAUCCGCAUCCAAGGGACUCUAUUUUGCACUGCCGAUGGCAAUAUUGGUGCUAAUGGCACAGCAACCCCUGUUUUCCCUAGUAUGCUUGCCCUGAUUCCUCUUCCUUUUCUUUUUUUUUUUCUUUUUUUUUUCUUUUGAUCGAUAGUAAAGUAUCCUCGGACCAGAUUGAUUGUCAUGAUUACAUAGUUACCAUUCAUCACAUACGACAUCGUCGAAUGCAAUUUGACUUUGUUCUUCUUCUUAUCUUGCUUAUAAAGUUGUAAUUACAGUAACGGGUUUUUUCUUGCAGAUGCUCUCGUGCAGUUGCAAUGUGGAGGAAAUGUGGUUUCUACAUCAACCACCAAUGGAUCUGGGAUGUUUUCUAUUUUGUUGGAUCCUCUAAAUUAUAUUCUUUCCUCGGUAUUGAGCGACUGCAACCUGAAGGUCGAUACACCGCUGAUCAGCUGCAACUCGAGUCUCCCUGCUGUCGGUGGCCUCCUAUCACCCUUACGGUUCAUCGGGAACACUGCUCUAGGAGCCCUCCUGAGUGUUGCAAACAUCAUCCCUGCCGGAUUCCGAUUCGUGCCUUUAAAUUAAGGAGACCACUGUAGCUGAAGGCGGCAUUAUUAUUAUUAUUAGUAUGGCCAUUGCUAUGUACUACUUUAUAUGAAUAAGGCCGUUGUAUUAUUUGUGUGUACUGUUUAUUGUUUUUUCUUUCUUCCCAAGGAAUAAAGGUCAUGAUUGGCCACGCAUCAUCUAUAUGUAAUAUUUUAGCGAGUCUAAAUUAUGAGGGGCCUUACUCAAAAAAUGUAGCAAGUAAUUCGAUGCAUAUAAAACUAAAAUUUGUUGCUAAAAACAUUUAGCAACAAAAUUAGCAACAUAGAAAGUAUUACAUGCAGAUUUUUUUGUGUUGAUUUUUCAAUAAUGGAUUAGUCCGUUGCUGAUUUAUCAACAAUGAGUAAUUUAUUGCUCACAAUAGAUUAUUAAUAAAUCAGAAGAAUAUGUUGCUGGUUCGAUCUGUGAAUGAACCAUGGAUUUCCCAUUGAAUUAUUUAUAACCAGCAACGGAAAAUCCGUUGCUGAUGAUAUAGUUUUUAUUAAAUUAAUUUAUAAUUUUUAUCAAAACGACUUUUAAUUUUUUUAUUAAUUAUUUAUGGAUAUUUUAAAAGUUGUAGAAUAUAAAAAAAAACAUUAAUUAAUAUUUAAAAUUACAAUACAAUAAUAAAUGGAAUAAAAAUAAAAUUCAUAAUAUAAUUAAAAAUUUAGUUAAACUUGCACUGAUGCAAAUAAAUCAAAAUACAAUAAAAAGAUAGAAUUAUGGUGCUUGUUGUGGAGAUAAUUCAUGAUACUGUGGAUCAACAUAAGAUGAAUUAUGAUAUGAUGGUCGAGGUGUAGGUCAAUAUUGUAAGAGUCUGAAGUGUACAACUCGAUUAAUGUUAAAAGAUCCCAACAUAUCCUCUUAUUUGAGGGUAAUUUUUUUGUUUUCAUUUCCAAAAAUUCGGCAGAGUUUCAUUUGCAUUUUGGACAUCUCAAGUUAUCGACUACUAUCAAUUUACUCAAUUAACCCAUCAUCACAAGGUCCCAUAAUUCCGGACCUUAUAUCAAACCUCAUAAUUCCACACCUCAUACAAUCCACACAAUAUAUAUAUAUAUAUAUAUAUAUAUAUAUAUAUAUAUAUAAGUUCAAUAUGAACAUAGUCCAACACAUCAUAUCAUAAAAUUUAAAAGAAAAGGAAUACUAACAUGCAAAGAAAGCAUUUACAAUAUAAGAAGUGUUCUUAAAUAUUUCAAAAGAGUUAAUUACAAGAUAACUAAAAUACUACAUGCUCAGCUGAACCUUUGUAAAUACAUCAAGAUUUACACAAACAUAUACUACAUAAACAUGUUAAUUCCCUUUUAUUUUAAGUUAAAUAUUUACAUAAGCUUCACAAAGUAGAGUCCUAAACUAAUGAUCUUCCUGGAUAUUUGAUGGACCUGUUACAUAAAUAAACAUAAUUAUAUUGGUAAAGAAUAUAUAUAUAUAUAUGCGCUCAUGUAAUGAAUACAAAUGAAGUAUUAACUUUCUAUCGGAUCCAUAAGAAUAUUAACAGAGAACUUAUAUUUUGCUUGUAAGUCUUUUAAACCCAAUUAACACUCAUUUAUAUACUCUUAAUUUGAAUACUCUAAUUUACUUGCAUGAACUGCAUCACCUUGCAAAGUUUAAUCUUGUAAUUCAAUUCCCGGCAAUCCUAUCAUGGAUGCCAUUAACCGAAGCUAAUCUUGUAAAUCAUCUCCCGGCAAUCCUAUCACGGAUGCUAUUAGCCGAAGCUAAUCUUGUAUUUACGCUAGAUUUUAUUUACGUUGAACAUGACAUUUAUUGUAAUUGCAUUCACUAGAAGAAUUUUAAAUUGUAUAAGUGCAAAUAGGAGGAAAAUCACGCACCUCCUUUGCUUGUCUCGCGACCUCCCCUAAUAGAAGAUCCAAUCCUGGUUGCUCCUCCUGAAUCAUAAUGAAGUUUUUGGUUAUGAUUCCUUCAAGUCGAUAUUAUAGAGAAUCUAUAUUCAUCCAUUACUCAUAUGUUACUUUCUAUGCAUGUUCAUUUUCUCAUAAUAUCAUACAUACAUAUAUCAUGUACAUUUUAAGAGUUAGUAUCUCAAUGUGCAAGUGUUCGUAUGACACAAUUCUUUUAUAUUCUUAUAUAUAGUAUUCACGUGAAAGUGUACUAUUAUUGUCUAACUUUAAACUGUUACUGUCCAAUUUUGAACUAUUACUGUCCAAACACUCACCAGAUUUUUAACUAUAUCUAAAGUUCUAAAACUUCAUUUUAAGUGACAUUAAUCUCGUUAUAAAGCUAAGACACGAGGCUACAAGUUUUUUGAAGGGAGGAGAACCCAAUUUUGCCUCCAAGAUAGUCAAAAUUGCUCAUAAAAUAGUUAGUCCUACUGCCCUACAUAAUCAGUCACGACUCAAUCUCAGUUGGUAACCCAUAACUGGAGUUCUACAUCUCCAAGUUGAGCAAGACCAGUUUCCUUGGUUAGCUCACAUUCAAAUCUACAAUUUCUACGAGAAACUCGAUCCUAAUCCCCUCAUUCUCCUACCCGAAAUCUCAUCUAAAGUUAGGAGACAAGUCUGUCAUCUUUACUGGUAGGAAAAGGGCAUAUUUAGUUAGUCGAUCCACAAUGACCAAGAUUGCAUCAUUUCCCCUCUUUCCUUUGGGUAGUCUCGACACAAAGUCCGUUGUGAUCAUCUCCCACUUCCACUUAGGGAUUGGUAAUGGUUGUAACAGCCCUGCCGGUUUUUGGUGUUCUACUUUUACUUGUUGGCAAAUACUACAUUUUGCCACGUAACUAGCCACUUCUUUUCUUAUAUUUGGCCACUAGUAGUACUGCUUCACAUCCUUGUAAAUCUUAGUACUACCUGGAUGUACAGUGAACUUAGACUCAUGAGCUUCUCGUAGUAACUUUUGUUUAAGGGCUUUGUUGUCCGGCACAUAUAUACGUCCCCCUAACAUCAUUAUUUCAUCAUCACCCAUUCAAAAAAGAGUUUCACCUCCCGAUUCCAGUUUGAUUCUCACUUUUAACACCUCACCAUCAUGCUGUUGUGCCUUUAAUAUUUGCUCUCGAUAUCCUGACUUCACCCUUAGUUGAGCCAUUAAGGAUCCUUCCGGACUCACAUUUAAUAUUGUCCCCAACCUCUUUAGCUCAAUCAUAGUUUCCUCAUUCCAAGUCAUUGGUCCACCCCUAAUCACCUUGUCUUUACGGCUGAGAGCAUCCGCGACUACAUUCGCUUUUCCUGGAUGGUAAUCUAUAUUACAGUCAUAGUCUUUAAUUAAUUCUACCCAUCUCCGUUGUCGCAUAUUCAACUCCUUCUACGACAUCAGAUAUUUAAGGCUCUUAUGAUCCGUGAAAAUUUAGACCCGGGAUCCGUAUAAGUAAUGCCUCCAUACUCGUAAAGCAAAAACUACUGCUGCCAAUUCUAUGUCAUAAACUGGGUAAUUGACUUCAUGAGUCUUCAGUUGUCUCGAAGCAUAGGCAACUACUUUUCCAUGCUGCAUUAGAACACAACCCAAUCCUUUUCUUGAGGCAUCAUUGUAGACUACAAAGCCUUCUGUUCCGGAUGGAAGGAUUAGCACGGGGGUAGUAGUAAGCCUCCUCUUCAAUUCUUGAAAGCUCUCAUCGCACUCCUUUGACCACUCCCAUCUUAUGUUCUUCUUGGUGAGUCGUGUUAAUGGAGUUGCUAUCGUUGAAAACCCUUCGAUAAAUCUUCUAUAAUACCCUGCCAAUCCGAGAAAACUACAAAUUUCAGUUACCUUAGUAGGCCUUUCCCAUCUCAAAAUUGCUUCCACCUUUUGAGGACCCAUAAAAAUGCCUUUUGAAGACACUACAUGCCCUAAAAAGGUAACUUAUUUUAACCAGAAGUCACAUUUAUCCAACUUGGUAUACAACUAGCGGCUCCUCAGAGUCUGUAGUGUCUGUCUCAGGUGUUGUUCAUGCUUCUCAUAGGAUUUGGAGUAAACCAAGAUGUCAUCGAUGAAUACAACAACAAACUUAUCAAGGUAUGGUUGGAAUACUCGGUUAAUUAAAUCCAUAAAAAGUGCUGGAGCAUUAGUUAAUCCAAAGGGUAGCGCCAAGAACUCAAAGUGUCCGUAGUGAGUUUUGAAGGUAGGUUUUGGCACAUCUUGCCCCUUGAUUUGUAUUUGGUAGUAUCCUAAUCUUAAAUCAAUAUUUGAGAAUACUUUGGCACCCUCAACUGAUCGAACAAAUCAUCUAUCCGCGGAAGUGGAUUUCUGUUCUUUACCCUCACUUUAUUCAGCUGAUAGUAAUCUAUGCAAAGCCUCAACGUUCCAUCUUUCUUCUUCACAAAUAAUACAGGUGCCCCCUAAGGUGAGUUGCUUGGUCGUAUGAACCCUUUGUCUAAAAGCUCCUGUAAUUGAAUUUUCAACUCAUUCAAUUCUUUUGGGGCCAUUCUACACAAUGGUUGGGCUAUAGGAGACACCCCAGACAAUAUAUCUAUGGUGACUUCAACUGCUCUUUCUAGGGGCAGUCCUGGCAAGUUUUCCAGAAAUACAUCCGGAAAUUCCCUCAUAAUUGGAAUGUCAGACAUUCCUAUUUUACCCUUUUUCGAAUUUAUCACAUAGGCAAGGUAUGAUGUACAACCUUUAUUUAGUAGUUUUCUCGCAACCAUACCCGAGAUCAUAUUUGUAAAGUUGGAAAUUUUCUCCUCCUUAAAGACCAUUGUUUCACCCUUAGCCCCUUGGAAGGUUACUGUUUCUGUAAAGCAGUCUAGACGAGCCUUAUUUUUGCCCAACUAAUUUAUACCUAGAAUUAUAUCAAAAUCACUUAAUUUUAGGGGUAUUAAAUAUGCUUUUAGUUCACACCCAUUCAUGUUAAUUCCCACCCAUUCAAAUACAACAUUUGUUUCCACAGUUUCACCCAAAGGUGUCCCAAUAAUAAAUCCUUUCUCUACCCCUUUUAUUUCCUUACUCAAUUUGGUUACAUUUUUAUUUGCUAUAAAAGAGUGAGUGGCACCAGAAUCAAACAAAACAUGUAUUUGAUAGUCAUUCAUUUGCAGCAUACCUGCCACCACAUCUGAUGCUGCUCUGACAUCCUUCUGGGUCAUAUGGAAAACCCUUCCUUGAUCCCUUUCAUUUUGCACUCUGGGUCGUCCCCUAUUUGAGUUAGCUCCUGACUAAGUCGACCUUUCCGGUCUGUUUACUGUGAUAGACUAUUGAUGACUCUGACUUUGCUGCCUAUAUCUCUAAGGCUGUUCAGUGUUUAACUGGGGGCAUUCCCUUUUAAAGUCCCCCUUCUCACCACAAUGAUAACAUCCUCUUCCCAAGUACUGACAGGUUUUCCACUUAUGACCUUCUCCUCGACAUAUAUAGCAUCGUCCAGGAGAAACCAUACAACUCCCGGGGUGUCUUUGUUCACACUGAGCACAUCAAGGGUAGCCAAUUUCAAUACGAUCAUUAUGCCCCUUUGUAGCUAUAGCCCUGGAAUGGGUCUGACCACUUUCUGACCUCCCAUCGAUAUCCUUUCGGAAACUAGUUGACGUCCCCCCUUUCUUUUUGAAUUGAAGGAAUUGUUCGCCUCUACCUUUCUUUGGAAGCGGUGGCCUGCCUAAAAGUUCCAUAUCCUUUCGUUUUCCUACACCCCUAUGACUCUAUUGGCCUUCUUCCAUACAAGCCUCCAAGGCCUGUGCUACUUCAAUCAGUUCCCUUAUUGUCCUGAAUUGCAAAUAAAUCAACCCCUGCUUCAAUUCUUGUCUGAAGUCAUCCCUUAACUUUUCUAUCAUGUGUUGUUCUAAUGGGACAUAAUGUGGUGCGAAUAGUGAGAGGUCAUGAAAUCGUCUCUCAUACUCAAGUAUUGACAUUCCUCCUGUCUCAAGGCUAGGAAUUCUUGUUCCUUCAUCUUCCAAUGAUAUUUGGAGUAAUAUUGAUUCUCAAACUCUAUCUUGAAAUCAUCCUAGGAUAGGGUUUCUAUAGCCCUCCUCAACUGAACUGUCUCUCACCAAGGCAUAGCACUGUCUAAUAGUAAUUGAGUAUCACAAUCUACCCGUAAAUAAUGUGGUAUCUUAAUUUGAAUCAUGGUUUUUUCCACCUUUCUAAUCCACCUUCCCGCCACUUCAGCAUUCUGUUCAUCUAAGUAGGGUUCACAACCCAUUUCUCUCAUACUUUUCACCAAACAAACUACUUGUACCACGCCAUUGGUAGCUAUAGCUGCUUCUAAAACGGUUGGUAUGAUGGGUGUUGUUGCGAUGUCGCGGUCGCACAAAUUAAUUACCCUAGCUUCAAACACAACACACAAGAUAGUAUAGAGCAAGCAAGGGGUCGAUCCCACGAGGAAGGUUCAAGUCAGAUUUUUAUGCUAGAUGAUAUGCAAUUUGGGGGGGGGGUUUGGACGUUAUCUAGGCUAAAGCAAAAGAAAAUAGAAAACUAUCAAACAAAUUUAAUAAAAUCAGAAAAUUAUCAAGAGAACAAACCUUGGUCGCAAGCACACAUCCACCUAUAGAAAUCAGAACUGAUCAUGGAAACGAAACAUCAAUUUAUAUUUGAAUAUUUAUCUCUUCUUAACAUUGGUUAGUUAACGGAUCCGCCGUAUAACUAACCCUAACCAUCAAACAACCACAGUGUCCGCACUAGUAAUUUAAUUCAAUGGCAGCCUUAAGAACUAGAUAAGUUUAUUAAUCAAGAAAACAUAAUUGUCCGCAGUCUAUGUUUGAUUUGAUUGAAUGUUCUCCCUAAGAUUAAUAACGUAGAUCCGCCACAAUUAUUAAACUCAGUUGCUUCACAAGUUCAUAUACCACAACUCCGGUUUUGAUAUCAAACUUAGCAAUAGAUUGUCUACAAUAAAAACUUAGAGUCCGCUCUAGCAAUUAAAAUAAACAAUCAUAGGAAAAAUAAGCAUAGGAGAACAAACAUAUUCAUCAUAUAAACUGAAAAGAAAAGGUAAAAUAAAUCUCACAGUUCUUAAAUCCGAAGGUUUCCGUGUCCUUGCAACCAAGAAAACGAGUUUAGCCUUGCAUGUUUGUUGAAUAACUAAUCAAAAAGAUGGAAGAAUGCAUGAUUUAGGGUUUUUAGAGAGGGGGGGUUUUUCUCCUCUUGGCUUGCCCCCUUCUCUUCUCUCAUUCUUUUUAUAUCUAGAAACCCUAAUCUCUAUUUUACAAAAUAGUCCUCUCUUAAGUAGACAUUUACAUUUAAGUACUUCAAUAAUAUUUUCCUAAAAAGAAGAAAUAGUUUGCAUGAAAUCUUCAAGCUUUGACUUAGAGGAGCUAAAUUGCUGAAAUAAAAACUUGGAUAUCGGUUUAGAUGCUUCGGAACGUAAUUUGGACUCGUUUCUUCACGAAACCUGUUUGCUGGCAGAAUUCAGUUGUCAUCUUUGAAAAAUCAUAUCUCCCUCAUAUGACAUCGUUUUUGGCUGACAUUUGGAGCAUUUAUAGGUCUUUGAGUCAGGAAUCCAACACAAUUUAGUUUUCAUCAAUUGGACUUCUGUAGCUUUAGAUAUUCAAGUCGGAAUGACCAAAGGUCAACACUGGCAGAUUGCGAGAUUUGACUUUGAAAGCUGUGAUUUCCAUGCUCUUCCUUAUUUUAUUGUCUUGAUUAGAUAUCCAGAAAGGUAUGGAUGUUAGCUUUUUAAUUCCACUGGAAUCACUUCAUUUUGACUUUUAGAGCUCAUGCUCUACACAAAACAUCGAUUGAAGGUCAAAUAUGUCAAUUACCUCCAAUUUACUCCUUUUUGCAUCUUUCAUCCAAAAGUGCCUUCAAAACAUAAAACAAAGAAUAUCAAGGCAUUUUAUAUAUAAAACAUAUGCAAAAAACUAGUUAAAUAUGGGUGAAACUAUUGAAUAAUAUGGUUGCAUCAGGUGCAGGUGGGGGUGCUGGCAUAGGAGUGACAACAUUAACCGUACCUUCCAUUACUGCUUUGACUAACUGGGCCAGGAACAUCGGAUCAACAUAAGAAACAGAUGACCUUGUAGGUGUAGUUUAAGGGGGCUCCUCUACUCGUUCCCAUGAGGCUGAAAUGGUCGGUUGAACAUCCCUAGUUUGCCUCGAUGCCUGUCUAAUUUGAGGCCCCGUCGAUUCUUCAUGCCCUGCUUGAGUCGAUACUACCGGUGCAUGUGAAGCAUUAUCUUCCAAAGAGCUCUCUUCUUGCCCCUCAGAAAAGUCUAUAUCUCUAUUCCCCCUCCUUGUAGAGGAUAAAUCUGUUCUAAUCUCUUGACGGGUACGUACCAUCCUGCAAUAAAUUAAUGAACAUCAACAACCUCUUUUGAUUUCUUACCCGAACCUAUACCAGGGCUCUGAUACCAACUGUAACAGUCCAAAGUGUAUGACUUGAUUAAUGUUAAAAGAUCCCAACAUAUCCUCUUUAUUUGAGGGUAAUUUUGUUUUUCAUUUCCAAAAAUUCAGCAGAGUUUCGUUUGCAUUUUGAACAUCCCAAGUUAUCGACUUUUAUCAAUUUACUCAAUCAACCCAUCAUCAGAAGAUCCUAUAAUUCCAGACCUUAUAUCAAACCUCAAAAUUCCACACCUCAUACAAUCCACACAAUAUAUAUAUCCUACGAGCAAGUUCAAUAUGAACAUAGUCCAACACAUCAUAUCAUAAAAUUUAAAAGAAAAGGAAUACUAACAUGCAAAGAAAGUAUUUACAAUAUAAGUGUUCUUAAAAUUUCAAAAGGGUUAAUUACAAGAUAACUAAAAUACUACAUGCUCAGCUGGAACCUUUGUAAAUACAUCAAGGCUUACAUAAAAGUAUACUACAUAAACAUGUUAAUUCCUUUUUGUUUUAAGUUAAAUAUUUACAUAAGCUUCACAAUGUAGAGUCCUAAACUAUUGAUCUUCCUGGAUAUUUGAUGGACCUGUUACAUAAAUAAACAUACCAUUAUGUUGAUAAAGAAUAUAUAUAUGCUCAUGUAAUGAAUACAAAUGAAGUAUUAACUUUCUAUCAGAUCCAUAAGAAUUCUAACAGAGAACUUAUAUUUUGCUUUUAAGUCUUUUAAACCCAAUUAACACUUAUUUGUACACUCUUAAUUUGAAUACUCUAAUUUACUUGCAUGAAAUGGGUGACCUUGCAAAGUUUAAUCUUGUAAUUCAUUUCCUGGCAUUCCUAUCACGGAUGCCAUUAGCCGAAUCUAAUCUUGUAAUUCAUAUCCCGGUAAUCCGAUCACAGAUGUCAUUAGCCGAAGCUAAUCUUGUAAAUCAUCUCCCGACAAUCCUAUCACGGAUGCCAUUAGCCGAAGCUAAUCUUGUAUUUACGCUAGACUUUAUUUACAUUGAACAUGACAUUUAUUGUAAUUGCAUUCACCAGAAGAAUUUUAAAUUGUAUAAGAGCAAAUAGGAGGAAAAUCACGAACCUGCUUUGCUUGUCUCGCAACCUCCCCUAACAGAAGAUCCAAUCCUGGUUGCUCCUCCUGAAUCAUAAGGAAGUUUUUGGUUAUGAUUCCUUCAAGCCGAUAUUAUAGAGAAUCCAUAUUCAUCCAUUACUCUCAUAUGUUACUUUCUAUGCAUGUUCAUUUCCUCAUAAUAUCAUACAUACAUAUAUCUUGUAUAUUUUCAGAGUUAGUCUCUCAAUGUGCAAGUGUUCGUAUGACACAAUUCUUUUAUAUUCUUAUAUAUAGUAUUCACGUGAAAGUCUACUAUUAGUGUCUAAUUUUCAAAUGUUACUGUCCAAUUUUCAAUUCUUACUGUCCAACCGUUACAGUCUAAUUUUGAACUGUUACUGUCUAAUUUUCAACUAUUAUUGUCCAACCGUUACAGUCUAAUUUUGAACUGUUACUGUCCAAACACUCAUUAGAUUUUUAACUAUAUCUAAAGUUCUAAAACUUCAUUUUAAGUGAGAUUAAUCUCGUUAGAAAGCUAAGACACGAGGCUACAAGGUAUCUGAAGGGAGGUGAACCCAGUUUUGCCUCCAAUAUAGUCAAAAUUGCUCAUUAAAUAGUUAGUCGUACUGCCCUACAUAAUAAGUCACGACUCAGUCUCAGUUGGUAACCCAUAACUAGAGUUCUACAUCUCCAAAUUGAGCACGACCAGUUUCCUUGAUUAGCUAACAUUCAAAGCUACAAUCCCCUUGUCCUCCUACUCAAAAUAUCAUCGAAAGUUAGGAGACAAGUCUAUCCAGAUUCGUCUCCCCCCUCCCCUUACACAAUACUUUCAUAAACUACAUACCACACACAUAAAUGAACUUAAUCUCAACAAUAAGUACUUUUUCCCCAAUUUAUGUCUAAGAACCCUAACCUAUGAUUCAAUAUCAAGGCAUCAAUUCUUUAUCGAAUUAAAUAAAAUAAAUUUUUUUAAGAUCAUGUUUAGAAUACCUUACCCGAUACAAAUUACGAUUUUGAUCUUCAACCAGUAGAAGAUUUUCAACUCCCUCCUUUCAUUUCUUCUUGUUCAAUUUCUUGGUAAUCCUUUGCUCUCAAGUGUUUAUUCCAUCUAUAAGCUCUUAAUCUUGCAUGGGUUCUUGAAAUUUUAGUGUUUCUAUUUUGAUUUCUCAAGAAGGGGUAUAAAACUCCCUAUCUUCUCUCCUUAUGGUUCCUAUAGAUUUUUUUGGUGAGGAGAGAGUAUUGAUACUCUAUAUUUUCCUUUAUUUGCAUUUAGGCCCCCCUUUUCCUUUAAGUGUAUUAUUCUCUUCAAUUAAAUCCAACCUCAAUAGUACCAGGUUUAUUAUAAUGUCUCUAAUUAUUUCGUCCGGAAAUUUAUAUUCAAAAAUUUUUGAAUUUCUGUUUUUAUUUAAUCAUAUGCAUGAAUUUCUUCACUUUUACUUAUUUAUUAUAUAUAUAAUUUUUUUAUCCCGGGGUUUACAAAUAUAUUGGUGGAGAUGUGGGAUCCAUAGGUGUCAUUAUCUGGGGAGCCAUAUGUGGCGGCAUUGAUAGGGCCAUAGGUGCUGGCAUACCUUGGCCAAUGUUUGAUGUCUCACCAUGAUAUCCAAGAUUGUUCAUAAGAUAAUCUUUCAAAAAAUCCAUCUGUUGUUUCAUUUCAAAAAUAAAAUCAUCUCUUUUCUUUAUCUCUUUUUGCAAUGCUCGAUAAGAUGAAUUAGGAUAUGGUGACUUCACCGAGUAGGAAUGUGAUGAAGAACUUGUAUUCACUAUAGAUUUUGGCAUACGAGGUGCACCAUAUACCCUACCCUAUUGUAACUCCUCCUGAAGCCACACACCAAGUUGCUCCAUCAAAUGAAGGAUGAUUUUCCCGAUUAGUUCAAUACUUUGAAAUCAUCUCCUUAUCAUUUUCUUAAAAAUAAAUACAUGCAAUAAUAAAUUCAUUUGAAUGUCAAAUAAUAUUUAAGUUAUAUAAAUAAAUAAAUAAAAAUACAUACAAUCACUUUUUUAGACUUGCUGUCUACAAAGAUGCUAGACUGCUUAGUACUCUGAUGCAAAGCUGAAAAGACAUCAUCUCAUGAAGGUUUUUUUCUACCAAGUUGCUCUUGCUAGGAAUUAUGAAAGAACAUGUCCUUCAUGAACUCUCACAAGUCUCUCACCAUUUUAACGAUCUCUUGUAUUGGACUGUGUAAUUCAACACCUUCGAUUCAGACCUGGAUUUCAGGUAGAAAUCUUGAUGCUAUUUUAUGAUGUGAAAAACAAAAUUAGAGUUGUUUUUUUAUAUACCUUUACAGAUUUGUUUUGAAGUGAAAAUGGAACAUAAUUAUUCAGACUACUGAAAUUAUGGAACUAGUAAGGCCUUAAUGGCAUUGAACCAGACAUGGGAGAGAUUUAAAUGCAUGGUCCCUGCAUUCUUAAUUAUGUUUAAAAACAUCCUCGUCCCUUUUUACCUCACUUUUUCUAGUUUUGAUCAAGUUUGUCCAUUUCGUUCUGUUUUGUCUGGAAUGGCCGAGACAUUUCAUACCUAUUCAAAAAAAAGAACAAUUUUCAUCUCAUUUCAAAUCUCGGUCCGUUCCGAAUUUUUUGGCUAAAUUUCAGCCGGAAUGUUUUGCUUUUAUUCCACAUAUUCCAUUUCAGUAUUGAAAAGCUAUUGAAUCAAAUUGAACCUGGUUCAAUUUAAUUAAUUAAACCACCUAAGAAUAAAAAGCUUUUUUUAAUUACUAUUUUCAAUAAAAAUGAUAUUAAUAAUAAUAUUAAAAAUUAUUAUUACUAUUUUCAUUUACAAUGAUAUUAAUUUUUUAAAAUUAGAUUUAUCACUAAUAUAUAUGGUUUAUAUUCAUGUUUUUUUUCAUGUUUAUACUAUGUAGGAAUUUGAGCAAAACAAGGGAUGCUUUAGAUCCCAUUAGUCUUGAUAACGUUUGUUGUAACCCAUUUUUGGGUCCCCAUAAAAAAAUAAUAAAUAAAUAAAUACAAAAUGUGCGCAGUACGGGUCGCAGUAACCCGUAGAUUAAUUCUCUGGUUACUGUACACACAGUAACCUGGUUACUAUGUGCACAGUAACCAGCCCAUGCAAAAAAAAAAAAACAGAAAAGGGCUAAACGGUGCCGUUUUGAACGGCACUAUUCCCCUUUCUUCCCCGCCUAACAUACAGCAGUAAAGAAGGAAAAAAGAUGUAUAUUUAAUGGCGUUGGUCCCUCCAGCCCACCGACCGCCGGUCCCUCUAGCCCACCGACCGAAGACAUUGGCCGACCGCCUACCGCACCGCCGAAGCUGAGGGAGGCACGCCUGGACAGCCACGCCCGACCAGCCGCCGCAUGACCCCACGAUGAAAAAAAAAAAAACACAUGCUCAUGGGCUAUAAAUGGAGGAGAAGAGAAGAGAAGAGAGGAAGAGGAAGGAAGAAAGCAGAAGAAGAAGAAGCAGAGAAGAGAGUCCAACAUCACCACCGCAGGUAGCGUUUCCCGUCGUUUUUCUGUUCUGCAUGCAGAUGAAAGAUUAAUUAGCGAGUUACUGUGCUGUGCACAGUAACUCGCUAAUUAAUUCACGGUUACUGUGCAUGUCAUUUUGAUUAAUAUUUGGUGGUAUUUUUUUUUAUGUUUUUAAAAAUACAAAAAUCUGAUUUUUAAAUACCCGGUUUUCGUCAAAAACUUCCACAAAAUACAAAAAAAUUAAAAAAAAAAAUGUUUUUGUGCAUACGGCCAAGUGUCUCAAAGCUAAAAAAUUAUGUUGUAUUUUUUCAUACACCAAAACAAAAUGUUUUAGCAUGCAUUUUGGCUUUAAUAACCAGUUUAUUAAAGUCAAGAGAAUAUUGGCCAAUAUUUCAAAAACAAGAAAAAUUUUAUUUUGUUUGUCUCUUAGUAUCCGGGGUAUGACUUUACACGUAAUGCAUAUUCCGGAUAUUUAAUUCUUUUUUUUUUUUUUGGACAAUAGAACCUGGGGUAUGACAUUACAUGUAAUGCGUAUUCCGAACAAUAAAAAAAAACCACAACACGACCUUAGAUUUUAUCAGACAUUAAAACAAUGCAGCUUACCUUAGGUAGGGCGUAGUUGGGGUGCUAAUACCUUCCCUUUACGCAACCAGUCUCCGUACCCGAUCUCUAACGACCAGUUAAGGUUCCUAGUAACCAGAAUACUAGGUGGCGACUCCCAGUCCAUAUUUUCACUUGUAGAGACAAGAAUUCCUUGUCUCUCCAUUUUUUCUUAAGGAAUAAAUAUUUCCGAUUUUUUCCAUUGAGGGUGGACGAUCGCCGCGCCGCCGCACACGUGCGACAACUUUGACUUAACUUUAUAUUUAAAAUAUUUGUGUUAAAACAUUUCUUUCAUAAUAUUUUAAUAUUUUGUUUAAGUUGAAUUACUUUAAGUUAAAGAUCUAUUUAAUUUUGAUUAUUUAGAAAUAUUUUAAAAUUUGAAAUUUUAUUUGUUUGACAUUGUGUUUGUAUUGCAUAAUUUAUAAUUAAUUUAUCUUGAAUUUUAAUGAUGUUUGUUGAAUAUAUAUAUAUGAACAAUAUAACUCCAAAACGGCAUGCCGAAACACUCUGAAACUGAAACAUUUCAUUCCAAUUAAAAAAAAAAACCCACCUACUGGAACAAAAUUGAUAACCUUGGUUUUGAUUGUAUUUCCAAUUCAAAUCGUAAUUUAUAUGUAUGAAAAGAACUUUUUUUCCAUCAUUUUUUUUCUUGUGCGUUCCAUUAUUAUUUCUUUUCAAUUUUUAUAAUUUUUAUUGUAUAAUUCAAAUUUUGUUAGUGUUAUGAUGUUGUAGACUUAACGGUAAUAUUUAACAUCGUUAACAUGUAAUGAAGAUAAAAAUCAAACCUGCAAAGAUUAAAAUUAGUGCAAAAACAUGUAGAACAUUUUAAACACAAAACCAAGAAUACGUAACUUAAUUGAACAAUUAAGAGUUGGAAUACCUGAAUUUUAAUCCCUUGUCCUAAAAAAAAAAAAGAAAGUGGAAUUAGGGGUAGCAAUAGAUAACUAGCAGAGUUUUAUAUCAGGGAUGAUAAUUUAAUCUGAACUCGAUAGAUACCAACCUGAUUUGAAUGAAUGAAUGAAUAUUUUUUGUACUUGAUGGAUAAUGGAUAGAGUAUGGAUGUUGUGAAACACGACCUGAAACCUAUCCAAACCUAACGUGGAAUAUAUUUGUAUAUUAUAUAAGUAUAUUUGUAAAAUACUUAGAUUUUUUAAUAGAAUAUGAUACAUACAUAUCUUGGUAUUGACAUAAUACACACUUAUAUAUAAACUAUUUUAUUUUUUAUUGAUUAAUAAAUAAUAGUAGAUAAUAAAUAACUAUUUGAUACCUGAAACCCGAUGGAUAAUGAGUAUGGAUAUCAAGAAAUCCAACCCGCGAGUACGCAUUGUCAUCCCUGCUUUAUACUAUCUAUACCCGAAUCCAAAUCUAAAAUAAUUACUCGAGCCUGAACGGGUAUGGGUUUUUGAUACCCGAACUUGAAUGCUAUAUUUUACAGCUAUUAGUACAUAAUUAGCUUGCCAUACAUGUAAUUUUCUCAAACUUUAAUGUUAUUUAUUUAUUUCAGGGCAGGUUCGGGGAGAUCAAUAUCCAUACUCUACGCGUACCUGACUUUUUGCAUUUGAAUUUUACUCGAAACUCGAUUGAGUCUAAAAAUUUUCUAUUUGAAUCGAUUCGAGUUAGUAUUCAUAGGUAAAACUGUCAUCAUAAGUAUAAUCCAAAUACCAUAAUCUUUGGCAAUGAUAUGCUUUGCUAUUAGUUCUACCAUGACAACUAACAAAACUAUCACACCCAACAAAAAAAGCUAUGAAAUCCUGUUAAAGAAUUAUCUCAACCCAAUAACUUAAGUUGUUAUGUAAGGUUCCAAGAUAUAAUUUAUAUUAUUCUCUAACAUCCCCCCUCAAGUGAAAGUUAUUUGGGCUUGAAACUUGCACAAACUCAUAUUAUCUUGUGCUUAAUUUUAUAGAAUAAAUAGGAAUGGUAAGAUUUAAAUUUAUAAUUACUUGAUCAUCAAGGCUUUGAUAACAUGUCAAAUAAUCAUUUCAACCCAAUUACUUAAAUUGUUAGAUAAAAUUUCUAGAUAAAUCUGAUAUUAUUCUAUAAUAAAUCAAAUAUUAUUUUUGUAAGGGCAUAUUAGUGCCCUCACAGAGAAGCUAAGUAGAGUGGCGAGAACCGGACGACGGAAAGAGUUGGAAGAAAAAAGGCUAGAAGCUAGAUGCUAGAGCAUGGAGCUAUGGACCAAUCUAUGAACUUUUCAGAGGAAGUGGAGACGAACAAUUCUAUCGGAGAACCCCCAAGUUUCAGCUACGCAGAGCAAGUUGUUGUUUGGAGCCCCUUCUACUUUAUAAAUUCUGAAGAGGCAAGAAAAAGAAGACUUUCAUCUUUUUUCGAGAGACAGAAGGCAUGCUAAUGAAACUAGGGGUGGGGGAGUUUGUAGGUGAAGACCACAGAUGAAGCACACACGGGGAAGGAAGAAUUAGAGCUUCGUGACAAACCUAAGAUUUUUGAAUUGUUCUCUUUCUUUUCAUGGUCAUGCAGCAGAUUAUCCUACGUAAACUCACCAUCACCACAAACAAGAAAGAGAAAAGAGAGCUGUUAGUCAGCAAAAUCUGCUGCAACUUGGUCUCCCUUGUUCUAUAAAUGGCUGCUGAUGUCGAGACUCAAAAAUCACUUCAAUUUCAAGAUCAAGAUUGAGUUUAUACACUAAUUCUUGCAUUAAUAUCAGUACUACUGCCAUUGAGACCAUGGCCUUCAAGACAUUUGUCUUUGUUUCUCUCGUGAUUGCUGCAACAUUGGCAGCCCCAGUUGCUGAAGCUCAGCUUGGGCUUAUUGGCGGUCUUCUGGGUUUGAUCCGCAUCCAAGGGACUCUAUUUUGCACUGCCGAUGGCAAUAUUGGUGCUAAUGGCACAGCAACCCCUGUUUUCCCUAGUAUGCCAGCCCUGAUUUCUCCUCUUUUUCUUUUUUCUUUUUUCUUUUGAUCGAUAGUAAGGUAUCCUCGGACCAGAUUGUCAUGAUUACAUAGUUACCAUUCAUCACAUACGACAUCGUGGAAUGCAAUUCAAGAAAUCUUUGGUGUCAAAACCUUGAAAUCUGAGACCCCUUAAUAACGUGUGUGUGUGUCAGAUUAAUAUAUAAGAUCUGAAGAUUUCAAGAGUUGAUCUAGCUUUCGGGGUUGUCGGCCUUAAUAGCAAUCUUGUUAUAUAGAAAAAAAGAAAUAAAAAAGUUAAUGUCUAUUUUCACAAAUCAUAAAGUCUCACAAAUUGAAUGACUAAUCUAAUAAUAAUUACAGUUUGUUCUUCUUCUUAUCUUGCUUAUAAAGUUGUAAUUACAGUAACGAGUUUUUUCCUGCAGAUGCUCUCGUGCAGUUGCAAUGUGGAGGAAAUGUAGUUUCUACAUCAACCACCAAUGGAUCAGGGAUGUUUUCUAUUUUGUUGGAUCCUCUAAAUUAUAUUCUUUCCUCGAUAUUGAGCGACUGCAACCUGAAGGUCGAUACACCGCUGAUCAGCUGCAACUCCAGUCUCCCUGCUGUGGGUGGCCUCCUAUCACCCUUACAGUUCAUCGGGAACACUGCUCGAGGAGCCCUUUUGAGUGUUGCAAACAUUAUCCCUGCCGGAUUCCGAUUCGUGCCUUCAAAUUAAAGAGACCACUGUAGCUGAAGGCGACAUUAUUAUUAUUAUUCUGCCAUUGCUAUGUACUACUUUAUAUGAAUAAGGCUGUUUGUAUUAUUUGUGUGUACUGUGUAUUGUUUUUUCUUGCUUCCCAAGGAAUAAAGGCCAUGAUUGGCCAUGCAUCAUCUAUAUGUAAUAUUUAGCGAGUCUAAAUUAUGAGGGGCCUUACUAAAAAAAUGUAGCAAGUAAUUCG